rnacentral:lncRNA from 1 species
ACACUUCCAAAAAAGUCAAGUCUCUUUCCCUUUCUCAUCUCUUCAUACCCAGGCCAACGCAAUCCCUUUUGCUCUCCUGUCUUCGCAAGUAAGUAAAAUCUCAGUUCAUCUCAUCAUCUGACGGUUUGUUUUCAUACUUUGCUUUCCCCAAAUUGCCCUCGCCUUUUCCUCUCUUUUUCAAUUUCAGUUUCUUUUCGAUUAUAGACUCGAUUUUCUUUAUCUCGGUUUGUAAAUUUUAUCAGAUGUAAUGCAUAAUUGAUCGUCGUCGUUGUUUUGUUCAAUAGUUUCGCAAAACAAGCCGAAAUUAAAUUAAAUUAUGUAUCAGCAUCAAUUAAUUAAUUAAUUGAUGCUGUUUAGAUUGUGUGCUUGAUUAUAUAUCAAUAUCAGCAUAUUUUUAUUAAGAUUUUAAAUUUAAUUAAAUAAUCAGGAGUCUGAAUGAUUUUUAUUUUAAAUAUUUUUAUGAAUUUAUUCAUGUUCGGUUGGAUAAUAUUUAAAGUAAUAAUAAAUAUAGGUUUUAAUGGAGUGAAAUUGUAAGGGUAUGGUAACUGAAUUUUGUUUCUUAUUCUUUAAAGAUAAAGACUGAAUUCAAUAUGAAGUGGUUUGAUAUUGUAAAUGCAUUGCAGGUAAAUUGGAACUUUUUAUAUGAUGGGAGGAAGUGCGAUUGAUGAUGAUUGGGAGCUUACUUCUCCAUCUAAUGGGGAGCGCACUGUGGUUUUAGUUGGCCGUACUGGCAAUGGCAAAAGUGCGACGGGCAACAGUAUUCUUGGAAGAAGAGCCUUCAAGUCAAGGGCUAGUUCAUCUGGUGUUACUAGUACCUGUGAAAUGCAGAGAACCGUGCUCAAAGAUGGCCAAGUUGUUAAUGUCAUUGAUACCCCUGGUAGUUUACUGAUGUCAUUGCCUAGAUAUUCCAUUUCCAUGCUUGUUGAUGUUGUGGUGGUAAGUAGAUUGAUGUUAUGAGUAAUUGCAGGACUUUUUGAUUUUUCCGCUGGCUCUGAGUUUGUUGGCAAGGAAAUUGUCAAAUGUAUCGGUAUGGCCAAGGAUGGGAUCCAUGCAGUCCUUGUAGUUUUCUCUGUUAGAAGCCGUUUUUCUCAAGAGGAAGAAGCUGCACUACACAGUUUGCAGACCUUGUUCGGGAAAAAAAUUUUUGACUAUAUGAUUGUUGUUUUCACUGGAGGGGAUGAACUUGAAGAUAAUGAUGAAACGUUAGAAGAUUAUUUGGGUCGUGAGUGUCCAAAGCCUUUAAAGGUUUGUUUCUGAACAGCAAUAGUGUUCGAUAAUUUCCAUUUUGAUCAAGUUGUCUUGGGUUGCUUCUUUUGUGAAGUUUUAGAUUCCUUUACAGAUGGACUAUUGGAAGUUUAAUAUGAAUAUAUGCAUGCUGAAAAUACUAGAUAGGUGUAUAGUAGUCCAGCCGUCUUAAAAUUCCAUUUUCAAUAGUGCUUCAUUUCCUGAAUGGUUUUCUUCUGCCAAGCGGGAUUGGCCGGAGAGGUGAUUGGUUGGUAAUUUUCUGCUGGCGUUACUUAAUUUUAGUUAUAUUUUAAUGUCUUUGAAUGAGAUGUCAUUCAUUCAUUUGCUAAGCAUUUAUGCUUUUCUUAUUUGUAUUCUUUGAUUUCAUCUGUUAUUUAAUCUUUGGUUCUUAUUCUAUUAACGUGUGUUCAUUUGUUUGUUCCUUAAAAUAUGUACCUCUUUGAUUUAUAUGCUUAAAAUUAACCUACUUUUAAGAUUUUAGAAGUGCACCAAGGAGGAUAUGACUUGCCAUACAGGUCCAUUUUAUUAGGCGUUGUUUGAAUAAAAUAUCAAGUCUAACUUUACAAGAUUUAAAAUUCUCUUUAAAAUCCCUGUGGAUACUAGCCCCAUAAUUGGUGUCUAAAAUUUCAAUGUGAGAUCUUUUUUCAGUUUCAACAUGCAAAUCUCUUAUUGUCAGAAUUUACUUGAUGAAUUUGGUCCCUAAAACUUUUCAAGUUCAGGAGUAGGAAGAAAAAUAACAAAAAUGAAAAUAAAGACCCCUUUCAAGUUCAGGAGUAGCUUUGCAAUUAACAAAAUCGGGUUAUUUUACAGUUAAAGGGAACAUUGUUUUACUUAUUGUACUAAUUUUUGUAGUUUGAAGGAAUCAAAUUUUUUUAGUUAUCAUGCUGCAAAAUUAGGUCAAUUAUGUAGAUGCCACAGAAAAUAUGAUCAUGUCUUUUGGCAGUUUUGAGCUUUGGUCACUUGAGUUUGUUUAUGACAAUAGUACAGUCUUUCAUGCUUUUUUCUAAAUGUAAGAAUUUGCCUAGUGAAGAGGCAGCUACUGAUUUGUAGGCACUAAUUUUGAUUGGGUCAAUGCUUUUCACUGGAAUAUAUGCAGAUUAUUAUUAUUAUUUUUUCUGUUAUAUGGAAUGCUGAUCACCUUUUAAGAUCUUUAAAUUUGAUGGACGUAAAAGGUUAUUGUAAGUGGUCAAACCAUAAGGAGAAUGGAAUUAAUUAUUAAAAGUUGAUUAUUGCUUGCCCUUAAAUAGUUUUUGGGGAUGCAUGAUAUUAAGUACCAAUGAUCACAAUAAAAACAAAUUUUGUCAGCUGAAUAUCUUCAAACUUUUAGAGACUACAAGUGUUUGAUUGGUUUAUCAAUGCUUACGAAAGGGGCUAACAUUUGCUUUAUUCCUGAUCAUUUUUCCAUUAUUUUAGGAAAUCCUUCAACUAUGUGAUAAUAGGUGCGUGCUUUUUGAUAACAAGACUAAGGAUGAGGCCAAGAGAACUGAGCAGGUUUGGAAGCUUCUUUCUCUGGUUAACUCUGUGGCCGUGCAGAAUGGUGGGCAGCCAUAUACGGAUGAUAUCUUUGCUGAGUUGAAGGUGACUUCGUUACUAUCGUGAUAGACUUCUGUGCUGCUUCUUUCUGAAUAUGUCAUGACGAUGUCUCUUUUUCUUUUUUCUUUUUUCUUUUUUCUAUUCAGAAAGGGGCUACUAAACUCCGUGAUCAACAAUUUGAGGUUGAUUCUCUCAAGGGAUAUUCAAAACGAGAAAUUUCAGAGCUGAAGGAGCAGAUGCAUAAAUCAUAUGAAGAUCAACUCAAACGAAUUACUGAGAUGGUAUUUUUUAUGCUCCUUGUUUUGGCAUCAAAAUAUGACAUGCAUAUGUGUUCAUUUCUCAGAUCCAAAAAUGCUUAUAAAGUGUGCAGGUACCUGUAAUGAUAUUCUAAAUUGUGAGACUUGGAGGUGAUAAAGACUGCCGCUGUGUCCUUACCCCUAGAUUGUUGGAGAUUGCCAUCUGAAAAGAGGCUUUAUCUUGCUAGUUGAUGGGGACAAAUCUGUUAUUAAGUUAUCUGUUCACUGAUUGUGUUUUGAAGGCUGUAACAUGUUGUUCUUACCUUGAAGAUUGUUUGACUGUCUUGUUCUGUUUUGUUUCUUGAUGAAAUUAAGUAGAUUACUCUAUGGUAGUAGCUAUAGGUGGUUUGCUCAUCAUGACUUGCACUUAGGAGUGGAUUCUGCACUUGUUUAGUCAUCAAUCAUAAGAACAUUUCUUGUAAUACUGUAGAUCCUGUUUUGUUGCUAGGAAUUUUGCACUCCUGAAUCUGUGGGAACAUUUGAAAUGUUAUAAGCAAGUUAUGUUAUAUUCUAAUUUUGUUAAAAACAGAAUAGCCACAUUCAAAAUAAGUUUUUUGGAAAAUAUAGUUAGGUACAUGGAACCUAAUCAAAUAGCUGUGUAGUUUAAAUGUUCCUUUCCACAGUUUUAAUUUAUAGCAAGGCAGUAGAAUGAACUGGCAUUAAGCGAGAUCCUAUGCAACAAUAAUCUGGAUUUGCUGUAGCAGUCUGUGUACUGACUAUGUGUCUGAGGUGCUAAUAAGUUUUAAUCUCCACAUUCCUGGAGUGUGGCAAAAUGAAAAAGUUAGUAUAUUCUUUAAUACCUUAUAUUUUGGGUUUAUCUGUUUAUUUUUUUAAGCUUUUGUUUCUACCAUUUAUCAAUGAUUGAGAGAGUGGAAUUGAUUGAAGUAAGAAAGUUGUGCCGAGUAUGGUGAACUUAGCAACUCCCUUUGCAAUUGGAUUAAACUAAAUUAAUACUUAAGAAUUUUCUUCUCUUAAGUUGGAGNNNNNNNNNNNNNNNNNNNNNNNNNNNNNNNNNNNNNNNNNNNNNNNNNNNNNNNNNNNNNNNNNNNNNNNNNNNNNNNNNNNNNNNNNNNNNNNNNNNNNNNNNNNNNNNNNNNNNNNNNNNNNNNNNNNNNNNNNNNNNNNNNNNNNNNNNNNNNNNNNNNNNNNNNNNNNNNNNNNNNNNNNNNNNNNNNNNNNNNNNNNNNNNNNNNNNNNNNNNNNNNNNNNNNNNNNNNNNNNNNNNNNNNNNNNNNNNNNNNNNNNNNNNNNNNNNNNNNNNNNNNNNNNNNNNNNNNNNNNNNNNNNNNNNNNNNNNNNNNNNNNNNNNNNNNNNNNNNNNNNNNNNNNNNNNNNNNNNNNNNNNNNNNNNNNNNNNNNNNNNNNNNNNNNNNNNNNNNNNNNNNNNNNNNNNNNNNNNNNNNNNNNNNNNNNNNNNNNNNNGACUUCUGUGCUGCUUCUUUCUGAAUAUGUCAUGACAAUAUCUCUUUUUCUUUUUUUUUUCUACUCAGAGAGGGGCUACUGAACUCCGUGAUCAACAAGCUGACGUUGAUUCUCUCAAGGAAUAUUCAAAACAAGAAAUUUCAAAGCUAAUGGGCCAGAUGCAGGAAUCAUAUGAAGAUCAAAUCAAACGAAUUACUGAGAUGGUAUUUUUUAUACUCCUUGUUUUGGCAUCAAAAUAUGACAUGCAUAUGUGUUCAUUUCUCAGAUCCAAAAAUGCUUAUAAAGUGUGCAGGUACCUGUAAUGAUAUUCUAAAUUGUGAGACUUGGAGGUGAUAAAGACUGCCGCUGUGUCCUUACCCCUAGAUUGUUGGAGAUUGCCAUCUGAAAAGAGGCUUUAUCUUGCUAGUUGAUGGGGACAAAUCUGUUAUUAAGUUAUCUGUUCACUGAUUGUGUUUUGAAGGCUGUAACAUGUUGUUCUUACCUUGAAGAUUGUUUGACUGUCUUGUUCUGUUUUGUUUCUUGAUGAAAUUAAGUAGAUUACUCUAUGGUAGUAGCUAUAGGUGGUUUGCUCAUCAUGACUUGCACUUAGGAGUGGAUUCUGCACUUGUUUAGUCAUCAAUCAUAAGAACAUUUCUUGUAAUACUGUAGAUCCUGUUUUGUUGCUAGGAAUUUUGCACUCCUGAAUCUGUGGGAACAUUUGAAAUGUUAUAAGCAAGUUAUGUUAUAUUCUAAUUUUGUUAAAAACAGAAUAGCCACAUUCAAAAUAAGUUUUUUGGAAAAUAUAGUUAGGUACAUGGAACCUAAUCAAAUAGCUGUGUAGUUUAAAUGUUCCUUUCCACAGUUUUAAUUUAUAGCAAGGCAGUAGAAUGAACUGGCAUUAAGCGAGAUCCUAUGCAACAAUAAUCUGGAUUUGCUGUAGCAGUCUGUGUACUGACUAUGUGUCUGAGGUGCUAAUAAGUUUUAAUCUCCACAUUCCUGGAGUGUGGCAAAAUGAAAAAGUUAGUAUAUUCUUUAAUACCUUAUAUUUUGGGUUUAUCUGUUUAUUUUUUUAAGCUUUUGUUUCUACCAUUUAUCAAUGAUUGAGAGAGUGGAAUUGAUUGAAGUAAGAAAGUUGUGCCGAGUAUGGUGAACUUAGCAACUCCCUUUGCAAUUGGAUUAAACUAAAUUAAUACUUAAGAAUUUUCUUCUCUUAAGUUGGAGUUUUAUAUUACCAGUACCCAAUUUUUCUUUGUAUUAUACUGCUACUCUAGGGCUUAAUGGCAUGUUUUCUGACUGAUAUUGAUGCUUUUUUGAUAGGUUGAGUCUAAGCUCAAAGAGACAACAACUAGGCUCGAACAGCAAUUGGCAGAGGAGCAAGCUGCUCGAUUAAAGGCAGAAGAGGUUGCACAAUUAGCUCAAAUGAAGUCGAAUGACGAAAUUCGUAAGCUUAGAGAGAAUCUUGAAAGAGCUCAGAGGGAGACAGAGGAGCUCCGUAAGCAAGCUGAAAAAGGAGGGUGUGCCAUUCUUUGACCUAAUCACCUGCUGGCACUAUAUACCAUUGGCAUGAAAAUCACCUAAAGUAUAUUUUUGCUGUCUCCCCUACCUUUUCAGAUAAUAUUUGAAGUUAAUACUGCAUUUAUUCUCAGUGUUUUACUACAGUCAAGAAGCUUGUAUCCUCUAUUAUGUAAAUGUUCCCAGUCCAAUCUCGAGUGCGGUCUUAAGAUAGUAUUAUAUGGAAAAAUUGAAUUGACAUCAAAUGAAGUUUCUUUUAUGGAGCCGUUUAGAAUCUUUUCUUACACGGUGAAUCCAAAGAGAUCUGAUUCCUUUUUCUCCUCACGCUAUCUUGUUUCCACAUUUGUAACAGAUACAACCCAAAAUACGCCCUUUUAACAAUCAAUGACUUUCCCAAAAACUCCAAGUCACUUGAGUUUACUUGUACCUUAACUUUUUUGUUUUCACUCUUCUAAUGUGAUAUUAGUUUGUAUAAAUAGUUUGUUUGUAUAGAAUUUACUCCUUUCAUACAACAGAGUAAUCCUAAUAUCCAAGAGACUUGCAAUAAAACCACCAAGCCUAUGACCCUUCUUUGAUUCACGCCAAACUUCAACCAGCUCAUAGCCUAGAUUUAUCAAGUAUAAUAUUUAUUUAUGCAUAUCUGACACAAUCUUUAUUUACCUUAUACAUAAUGCAAAUCCUUCGACAUCAUACAGCAUCAGUUUUAUAGAUAUUAAGUUUCAGCAUAAUAACUGGUCUCCCAAGGAGAAGAAGCCAAUGAUAAGUCAGCCUAAGUGAUUAGGUUACACAUAAACUAAUCCAGUUUCAUAUAUUGCUGGUUUCAAAAAUAGGUAUCAAGUAGCACACACAUUCAGUAGAUAAUGUAGUCUGAUCGUAGAUCUCGCACUGAGAUGCCACAAGCAUGAUAUCCAGCAUCUAGCUUACCUGCAAAUGGGAGAAAACAUUGAUGCACGCGCAACACGAGUGUGUAGAAAUGAAAUGUGAUGGGAGAAUUAAUUACCCGAGAUGGAGUAUCUUCUUGUCCGGGUGAGAGUAAGCAGUGUCACCACCCUCGAUGAUAGCAGGACUAAGGAAAUUCUGAUAAGCUAAUGCAUGGAUUGCAUUCAGCUCUUGCCCAGUCACCGUGUUUGCUUGCUGAAACCUCUCCAUUUCUGCUAUCUGAGUUUCAGAAACAAUGAAAUUUUAAUAACAUGCUGAAAUUUUGGAAGAGGGAGAGAAAAAAUGCAUUAUACAUACAACGGACUGAUUUGCAUACCUUUGAUCGGAGACACACGCUUUCAUUUUCCAGCUCAAUCUCCUAUGAAAAUGAAAAUGUUAAAGAGUUCCAUAAAAGCUUUGAAGAAAACGAAAAAAAGGCUAACCAGGAUUUAAUGAAUUUUAAUUAUUACCCUUUCUGCAAGAACUCAAUUUCAGCUAGAGGCAUUUCAUGCUGUUGCAAAAAACAGGAAACGCACAAAGCAACAAAUUAUUUUCAAAAUGACAUAAAUUACAUAUAUUGAAUGUAUAUAAAUAAAGUUUAUGCAAUGUAUUGUUGCAAAACAAUGGUGUAUUGCUCAAAUUCAAUUAUUUUUGUAUGCAUAGGACCUGAUCCUAGUGAUGCCUCGCUCAAGCCUGUUCUCCAGUUGCUUAAGCUCCUUUACAGUUAAAGAACUCAGAGAAUCACCCAUCAAAUGCCUAUAUGAAGAGUCAAGAGUGAGAUAACCAAUUGAAAAUUUAUUGAAAUUGUAUAUUUUGGAAUAAUUAAUUAACUACACUUAAUAUGAAAAUAAUUGUUGAUGAAAUAAUUGAAAAUACAUGUUAGAAUUCAGUGACAUUUGAAUUUGCUGCCGCAGCUUUGCUGACUCCUGCUGAUGGUACUGUUUCCAUGGGUCACAUGUAACGGGAGAAGUUAAAUUUUUAUUGGGAACUUUAUAUUUCAAUGCUAGCUAUGUGGUAAUAAAUGAUAAUUAGUUGGUUUUUUUUUUCACCUUUUCAUAAUAAUAUAUAUUCCUAGCAAAGCCUGAAUUUAUAGCUUAAAUUAAUGAAUUACUUACCUGAGCAUUGAUCUCAGUAACAGUGCCAGAAUUUAUUUAUUUUAUAGCUUAAAUUACAUACAUUUACACACGCGCGCGCGCGCGCGCACACACACACACGCUAGGAACAGCAGGUUAUAUUCAUCAAAUUCAUCUAAAAAUAACUAACUAACCAGAUAGCUCAGCUUUUUUUUUUUCCAACUGAAUUUCUGAACUUGGUAGAUUCUCUGCAGGUUUAGCAAUAACCUUCAGGAACUCCAGAUAAUCCGAGUCUUUAUUGUCCACAUCAAAACCAAAUACAGCUGAUUGCUACAGUACUUCUAAAAACAAUAAGAAGAUAAAGAAAAUAAAGGUAACUUUGAAAUUUAGUAGCUUAAGUGUACCGUAAAAGUCAUAGCAUUUCAACCUCAAAAGUACCCUAAGUUUUUUUUUUAAUAAAAAAAUUACCUUUAAAAAUGGUGCCUUCACGGCUAUCAUUUCUAGAACAAGGCUUGGGAACACGUUGAGAUGGAGCAUAUUCAACAACAGCCUUAAACUGAGCACCUAAUCGAGAAACCAAUAACACAUAUAAUCAACCAAACAGAAAGUGCCCUUUUGAUUUAAAACAACAUAAACUCAUUCUUACCAAAUUACGAUUGAUAAGUAAAAGCAAAAGUGUAAGUAAAAUUACCCUUUUCAUUAACAAACAGAUGUAUAUUCAACAACUCCGCAAACUCAAACACAUCCGCAUGCUUCUUCAAUUCUUCAUAUGCUUGUGAAUGCCUCUGAUGCUUGUAAUUGUUAAAAAACUAAAAUCCAAGUUAAAGUAAAAUUUCAAAAAAAAAAAGCCCAAAAAUCAAUCAAUUAUAAAAAAUAAAAAAAUAAAAAAAACCUAAAUUUUCUGGGGCAAAAGUAGAAUCAAUUGUAACGGUCAUUGAAGUGAUCGUGGAAAAGGGCUAACACGUCAUUUUGAGAGAGGGAAAGAGGCAAAUGACGAAUCAAUACUUUGGUUCUCUGCAAUGGCUCCUUCAUUUCAUCGCAUUCAAUUUGUUCCAUUUGUAUUGAAAUCGAAAAUCAAAAAAGAGUUUUGAUUAUUUUGUACCCUAAUUUUUUAUUUGGGUUGAGAAUGAAAUUGGAAUGUUGUUUAUUGGAAAGUUUUAGAUGCACGUAACUGUUGUGUUUUCCUCUAGAGGGGCCUCUGAGCACUCACAAACGGGAGAUUUACCCUUGGGAAACGUCGUCGUGUGGGCGUUCCCUAUGCGGGUAACACGUGUCAAUAAGUUAACGAGAUUCAUAUUUCCUUUCCCGGGGCAACAUCAAUUGAUAUUCCCUCCUUCCCUUCGUAUUACUUUUGGGGAGUCUAGGAAUGUUGUGGAGGCCGUACAGCAGAUAGUCCUCUAUUCAAAUCAAUAUAUACUAAUUAUUUUAGUAUUUUUUAAAAUAUUUAAUAAUUUUUUAAUAAUAUAGUUUUAUAUUAUUUUUAAAUAAAUUUUUAUUUCAUAUUUAUUAUAAAUUAAAUGAAUAAUACAAAUACAAAUAAAAAUAAAAUUUAAUUAUAAAAUAUUUUCUUGUACUUUUUGUUACUUUAAAAUAUUUUUCUUAUAAUGAAUGCAUAUAUUAUAGCUCCAAGAUAAGUUAUUAAGAAAAUUACUCAUUUGCCCUUUUUGUUUUAAUUUUUUUGGGGACGAAAGAGUUUUUAGAUAUUAUAAAAUCAGUAAGAAAUAAGUGAUAUAUAUUAGUUCCAAUAGAAAAAAAAAUUAACAACCUCCUUAAUAAUAAAAGUGACAAAAUAAUGAAAGGCAAAAGAAAGAAAUUGCAUGUUCAUUCAUCUUUUAGAUUCUUUUCUUCUCAACUUUGUAUUUAAACCCUUUUAAAUUCUUUUCUUCUCAACUUUCUAUUUAAUUUUUUUUACAUUCUUUACUUCUCAACUUUCUAUUUAAACUCUUUCAAAUUCUUUUCUUCAAACUCUUUUAGAUUCUUUACUUCUUAACUUUCUGUUUAAACUCUCUUACAUCCUUUACUUCUCAACUUUCUAUUUAAACUUUCUAUUACAUUCAUUAUUCAAUUUAUAAUUUUCAUACCUUAAAUCCUAAAAUUUAAGUCAAGUUUCUUCCCCUUUCUCAUCUCUUCGUACGCAACACAAUCUUUUUAGGUCUCCUCUCUUCGCAAGUAAGUAAAAUCUCAGUUCAUCGCAUCAUCUCACUGUUUGUUUUCAUACUUUGCUUUCUCCAAAUUGCCCUCGCCUUUUCCUCUCAAUCUCAAUUUUUAGUUUUUUUCUUUUGAUUAUAGACUAGAUUUUCUUUACUUUGGUUUGUAAAUUUUAUUGGAUGUACUGCAUAAUCAUGGGUGACCCAAUUAAGGCCCAUGAGGGGUUUUAGCCCCUUCUGAACCAUUAAUUUUUCUUUUAAAUGUACCCCAAGCCUUUUUUCAAAGAAUUAAAUAUUUUGCGAAACUACUUAGAAAAAUGAUACUUUCAUGCCUUUGAAAUAAAUAAUUUGUUACUAUUGUUAUUUAGAAUUUAAAAGAAAGUAAUGAAAUUUGAGUUUAUGAGACUUAAAAUGUAUGGUGUGAACAUUAAAAAAAAACCCAAAUUAAAUAAUUUUUUUUGAAUUAAGUCCCCUUAAUUGAAGUGUUUGGGUCCGCCACUGUGCAUAAUUCAUCAUCGUCAUUUUUUUUCAAUAAUUUCAUAAAACAAGCAGAAUUAAAUUAAAUUAUAUAUCAGCAUGAUUAAUUAAUUAACUGAUGCUGUUUAGAUUCUGAGCUUGAUUAUAUAUCAAUCCAUCAUAUUUUUAUUAAGAUUAUAAAUUUAACUAUAUCGUCGGGGUCCGAAUAAUUUUUAUUUUAAAUAUUUUUUUAAUGAAUUUAUUUAUGUUCGGUUGGAUAAUAUUUAAAGUAAUAACAAAUAUAAGUUUUAAUAGAGUGAAAUUGUAAGGGUAUGGUAACUAAAUUUUCUUUCUUAUUGUUUAACGAUAAAAAGUGAAUUCAAUGUGACGUGGUUUGAUACUGUAAAUGCAUUGCAGGUAAAUUGAAAUUUUUUUUAGGAUGGGAGAAAGAGUGAUUGAUGGCGAUUGGAAGCCUACUUCUCCAUCUAUUGGGGAGCGUACUGUAGUUUUACUUGGCCGUACUGGCAAUGGCAAAAGUGCGACGGGCAAUAGUAUUCUCGGAAGAAAAGCCUUCAAGGCGAGUGCUGGCUCGUCUGGUGUUACUAUAACUUGUGAAAUGAAGACAACCGUGCUCAAAGAUGGCCAAGUUGUUAAUGUCAUUGAUACCCCCGGUAAUUUACUAAUGUUGGUGCCUAGAUAUUCCAUUCCAUGCUUGUUGAUGUUGUGGUGGCAAGGAGAUUGAUGUUAUGAGCCAUUGCAGGGCUUUUUGAUUCUUCCGCUGGCUCUGAGUUUGUCGGCAAGGAAAUUGUCAAAUGUAUUGGUUUGGCCAAGGGUGGGAUCCAUGCAGUCCUUGUAGUUUUCUCUGCUCGAAACCGUUUUUCUCAAGAGGAAGAAGCUGCAGUACACCGUUUGCCGACCUUGUUCGGGAAAAAAAUUUUUGACUAUAUGAUUGCUGUUUUCACUGGAGGGGAUUAUCUUGAAGAUAAUGAGAAAACAUUAGAAGAUUAUUUGGGUCAUGAGUGUCCAAAGCCUUUAAAGGUUUGUUUCUGAACUGCAACAGUGUUCGAUAAUUUCAUUAGUCAUUUUGAUCAAGUUGUCUUUGGUUGGUUCUUUUGUGAAGUUUUAGACUCCUUUACGGUUGGACCAUUGGAAGUUUACUAUGAAUAUAUGCAUGCUGAAAAUACUAGAUAGGUGUAUAGUAGUCCAGCCGUCUUAAAAUUCCAUUUUCAAUAGGGCUUCAUUUCCUGAAUGGUUUUCUUCUGCCAUGCGGGAUAUGCCGGAGAGGUGAUUGGUUGGUAAUUUUCUGCUGGCAUUACUUAAUUUUAGUUAUAUUUUAAUGUCUUUGAAUGAGAUGUCAUUCAUUCAUUUGCUAAGCAUUUAUGCUUUUCUUAUUUGUAUUCUUUGAUUUCCUCUGCUAUUUAAUCUUGGUUCUUAUUCUAUUAACGUGUGUUCAUUCGUUUGUUUCUUAAAAUAUGUACCUCUUUGAUUUAUACGUGAGCUCCAUUUUAUUCGGCGUUGUUUGAAUAAAAUAUCAAGACUAACUUUACAAUAUUUAAAAUUCUCUUAAAAAUUCCUGUGGAUUCUAGCCUCAGAAUUGUUGUCUAAAAUUUCAAUGUGAGAUGUUUUUUCAGUUUCAACAUGCAAAUCUCUUAUUUUCAGAAUGUACUUGAUGAAUUUGGUUUCUAAAAUUUUUUAACUUGAGAAAGAUUUAUAUCAAGUUCUUCUAUUUUACUGCAUACUUGAUUUAACCUAUGAGGAGUGGGAAGAAAAAUAACAAAAAAGAAAAUAAAGACCCUUCAAGUUGUAGCUCUGCAAUUAACAAAAUCGGGUUAUUUUAAGGGAACUUUGUUUUACUUGUUGUACCAAUUUUUGUAGUUUGAAGGUAUCAAUUGUAGAUGCCACAAUUAGGUCAAUUAUGUAGAUGCCACAGAAAAUGUGAUCUUGCCUUUUGGCAGUUUUGAGCUUUGAUCACAAUAAUACAGUCUUUCAUGCUUUGUUCUAUAACGUAAGAAUUUGCCGAGUGAAGAGGCAGCUACUGCUUUGUAGCCACUAAUUUUGAUUGAGUCAAUGCUUUUCACGGGAAUAUAUGCAGAUUAUUAUUAUUAUUAUUAUUAUUAUUAUUAUUAUUAUUAUUAUUAUUAUUAUUAUUAUUAUUAUUAUUAUUAUUAUUAUUAUUAUUAUUAUUAUUAUUAUUAUUAUUAUUAUUAUUAUUAUUAUUAUUAUUAUUAUUAUUAUUAUUAUUAUUAUUAUUAUAUGGAAUGCUGAUCACCUUUUAAGGUCUUUAAAUUUGAUGGACGUAAGAGGUUAUGUAAGUGGUCAAACCAUAAGGAGAAUGGAAUUGAUUAUUAAAUAGUUUCUGAGGAGGCCUGAUAUUAAGUGCUUACGAUCACAAUAAAAACAAAUUUUGUCAGCUUAAUAUCCUCAAACUUUUAGAGACUACAAGUGUUUGAUUGGUUCAUCAAUGCUUACGAAAUGAGCUAACAUUUGCUUUAUUCCUGAUCAUUUUUCCAUUAUUUUAGGAAAUCCUUCAACUAUGUGAUAAUAGGUGCGUGCUUUUUGAUAACAAGACCAAGGAUGAGGCCAAGAGAACUGAGCAGGUUGAGAAGCUUCUUUCUCUGGUUAACUCUGUGAUCGAGCAUAAUGGUGGGCAGCCAUAUACGGACGAGCUCCUUGCUGAGUUGAAGGUGACUUCGUUACUGUCGCGAUUGACUUCUGUGCUGCUUCUUUCUGAAUAUGUCAUGACAAUAUCUCUUUUUCUUUUUUUUUUCUACUCAGAGAGGGGCUACUGAACUCCGUGAUCAACAAGCUGACGUUGAUUCUCUCAAGGAAUAUUCAAAACAAGAAAUUUCAAAGCUAAUGGGCCAGAUGCAGGAAUCAUAUGAAGAUCAAAUCAAACGAAUUACUGAGAUGGUAUUUUUUAUACUCCUUGUUUUGGCAUCAAAAUAUGACAUGCAUAUGUGUUCAUCUCUCAGAUCGGGUAAUCAUUUCUAAAACUGUGUAAUUAAAAAAAUGCCUACAAAGCGUGCAGGUACCUGUAAUGAUAUUCUAAAUUGUUAGAUUUGGAGGUGAUAAAGACUGCCGCUCUGUCCUUACCCCUAGAUUGCUGGAGAUUGCCAUCUGAAAAGAGGCUUUAUCUUGCUAGUUGAUGUGGACCUAUCUGUUAUUAUCUGUUCACUGAUUGCGUUUUGAAGGCUGUAACAUGCUGUUCUUAACUUGAACAUUGUUUGACCGUCCUGCUCUGUUUUGUUUGUUGAUGAAAUUAAGUGGGUUAUUCUAUGGUAGUAGCUAUAGGUGGUUUACUUAUCAUGACUUGCACUUAGGAAUGGAUUCUGCACUUGUUUAGUCAUCAAUCAUGAGAAUAUUUCUUGUAAAACUGUGGAUACUGUUUUCUUGCCUGAAUCUGUGGGAACAAUUGAGAUUAUGACAUAUUCUAAUUUCGUUAAAAACAAAAUAGCCACAUUCAAAAUAAGUUUUCAUGAAAAUAUAGUUAGGCACGUGGAACCUAAUGAAAUGGCUGCAUAGUUUUGAUUUUCCUUUCCACAGUUUUAAUUUAUAGCAAGGCAAUACAAUGAUUCGGAAUUAAGCCAGAUCCUAUUCAACAAGAAUCUGAAUUUGCUGGAACAUUCUGUGUAAUGACUAUAUGUCUGAGGUGCUAAUAAGUUUUAGUCUUCACAUUCCUGGAGUAUGGAAAAAUUAAAAAGUUAGUAGAUUCUUUAAUACUUUAUAUUUUGAAUUUAUGUGUUGAUUUUUUAAAGCUUUUGUUUCUACCAUUUAUCAAUGAUUGAGAGUCUGGAAUUGAUUGAAGUAAGAAUGUUUCGCCGAGUAUGGUGAACUUAGCAACUCCCUUUGCAAUUGGAUUAAACUAAAUUAAUACUCAAGAAUUUGCUUCUCUUAAGUUGGAGUUUUAUAAUACCAAUAACCAUUUUUUUUUUUUGUAUCAUGCUGCUACUCUAGGGCUUAGUAGCAUGUUUUCUGACUGAUAUUGAUGCUUUUUUGAUAGGUUGAGUCUGAGCUCAAAGAGACAACAACUAGGCUCGAACAGCAAUUGGCAGAGGAGCAAGCAGCUCGGUUAAGGGCAGAAGAGGUUGCACAAUUAGCUCAAAUGAAGUCGAUGAAAUUCAAGCUGGGAGUGCUGAGAAGGAGACUGCGGAGCGCCCUAAGAAACCUUAUAAUGGGGAUUGUGCCAGUUUUUGACCUAGUCACCUGCAGGCACAAUGUGCCAUCGGCGUGAAAAUCACCUAAAGUAUAUUUUCUUAUUGUGCCAUUCUUUGACCUAGUCACCUGCAGGCACAAUGGAAAAACCGUAUUGACAUCAAAUGAAGUUUCUUUUAUGGAGCCAUCUAGAAUCUUUUCUUACAUGGUGGAUUCAAAGAGAUCUGAUUCCUUUUCUCCUCAUUGAGCUCUUAACGAACGCUGUAUUGUGUCCACAUUUGUAGCAGAUACAACCCAAAAUGUGCCCUUCUAAUAAUCAUGACUUUCCCAAAAAUUCAAACAGACUAACAGAGCAAACCUAACAUCCAAGAGACUUGCAAUAAAACCACCAAGCCUAUGACCCUUCUUUGAUUCACACCAUACUUCAACUAGCUCAUGGUCUAGGUUUAUCAAGUACAAUAUUUAUUAUGAAUGUAUGACACAAUAUUUAUUUACCUUGUACAUAAUGCAAACCCAUCGACAUCAUACAGCAUCAGUUAAAUAGAUAUUAAGUUUCAGCUUGAUAACUGGUCUCCCGAGAAGAAGAUGCCAAUGAUAAGUCAGAGUAAGUAAUUAGGUUACACAUAAACUUAUCCGGUUUCAUAUAUUGCAGGUUUCAAAAAUAGGAGUCCAGUAGCACACACAUUCAGUAGAUAAUGAUAGGCUGAUCGUAGAUCUCGCAGUACGAGAUGCCACAAGCUUGAUCGCCAGCAUCUAGCUUACCUGCAAACGGGAGAAAACAUUGAUGCAUGCGCAACACGGUUUCGCAGAAAUGAAAUGUGAUGGGAGAAUUACUUACGCGAGAUGGAGUAUCUUAUUGUCUGGGUGAGAGUAGGCAGUGCCGCCACCCUCGAUGAUAUCAGGACUGAAGAAAUUCCGAGAAGCUAAUGCAUGGAUUGCAUUCAGCUCUUGCCCAGUCACCGUGUUUGCUUGCUGAAACCUCUCCAUUUCUGCUAUCUGAGUUUCAGAAACAAUGAAAUUUGAAUAACGUGCUGAAAUUUUGGAAGAGGGAGAGAAAAAAUGCAUUAUACAUACAACGGACUGAUUUGCAUACCUUUGAUCGGAGACACACGCUUUCAUUUUCCAGCUCAAUCUCCUAUGAAAAUGAAAAUGUUAAAGAGUUCCAUAAAAGCUUUGAAGAAAACGAAAAAAAGGCUAACCAGGAUUUAAUGAAUUUUAAUUAUUACCCUUUCUGCAAGAACUCAAUUUCAGCUAGAGGCAUUUCAUGCUGUUGCACAAAACAGGAAACGCACAAAGCAACAAAUUAUUUUCAAAAUGACAUAAAUUACAUAUAUUGAAUGUAUAUAAAUAAAGUUUAUGCAACGUAUUGUUGCAAAACAAUGGUGUAUUGCUCAAAUUCAAUUAUUUUUGUAUGCAUAAUGAAAUUAAUUAAUUACCUUCUUGGACCUGAUCCUCGUGAUGCCUCACUCAAGCCUGUUCUCCAGUUGCUUAAGCUCCUUUACACUUAAAGAACUCAAAGAAUCACGCAUCAAAUGCCAAUAUGAAGAGUCAAGAGUGAGAUAACCAAUUGAAAGUUCAAUUGAAAUUGUAUAUUUUGGCAUAAUUAAUUGACUAUGCUUAAUAUGAAAAUGAUUGUUGAUGAAAUAAUUGUAAAUACCAGUUAGAAUUCUGUAACAUUUGAAUUUGCUACCGCAGCUUCACUGAUUCCUGCUGAUAGUACCGUUUUCAUGGGUCAAAUAUAAUGGGAAAAGUUAAUUUUUUAUUAGGAACUUUAUAUUUCAAUGCUAGCUAUGUGGUAACAAAUGGUAACACUACUAGAAAAAUGGUCUUUACUGACUUUAGAAUAGUGUCAGAAAUUACUUUCACUGACACUUGUUAAUUAUGUCAGUAAUCUGGGAGUUAGAAAAAUAGUAACACUUGUAAGUGGUGUCAGUGAUUACUAUUACUACAGUAUCACCGAUAUUAUGACACCAUAAUGUUAGUAGUUAUUGAUAUUUUAUUAGUGUCUAUGAUUACUGUUACCAUGGUAUCACUAGUUAAUUUAUUUUUUAAAAAAUAAAAAAUUAAAUUGGAUCAUUGCCUAUUGAUUUAUUUGUAAAAUUAAAAGCACCACAAAAUAACAAAAAUAAAUUGAUUUAUAUCACAAAAUCUUUCAUUUCACAUUUAAAUAUUAUUAGUAUAUAUUACAAAUUGAACUUCAAUAGCCAAAAUAUGACAUAUCCUACUCUCAUAACUAAAUAAUCCAAAUUCAAUACAUAAAAAUUUUUAACAUCCAAUCAAAUGCGUACUACUUGUGGCUAAAUUUAAUAAAUCUAGAAGUUAAAUUGAGAAUGAUGACUAUCUUUCACACUUUGAAUAUGAGUAGUAUAAUUGCGUUAUCACACCAGCAGCUUCUCCAUUCAAUAGACUGAAUGGGUUAUGAUACAAGUGAAGUUGAGGAAUAAACACUUCAAACACAUUGAGCAAAUCUGCAUACAUCGAAAAGGGAGAAAAAAUUAGCUGCCAAUUCCCAACCAUUAGAGAAACAAUGGUUAGUAUAAAUAAAUCUAUUUUGUUCUAAAGAAAAAAUAUUCAUACACUAUUUAUAAGUAAACUCAAUUAUUUCAAAGAAAAAUUAGUGAACAAGGAAGUUGUAGUUUAUUUCCUUAAAAAUACCAAAGAAAUACAGUUUAUUCAACUACAGAUAUAAAUAAGAAAAAAGGGAGUCAAUGAUUAUUCUCUUUUGGUAAGGUUAUUUAUAAUAAGUUAAUGACUCUAAAUAGAGUAAGAACGAUAACUAGGUAAAAAUACAAUUACUUGUUGAAAAUUAGUCACUAGAUUCCCAGUAACUACAUCAUAAUGUUGAGCAAUUAAUUACUAAGGCAUCAGCCAAGUAGUUAGUGUAGGGGGACUGACUUCAUUCAUUCCCUUAAAGAAAUCCAAUAACCUUGCUACCUCCUUAUUUAUAUGCAUACUUCCAAUGUUUAAUUAUUUUGCUAUAGAGAAAGAAAGUUAAUAGAAAUGACAAACUGAUAGCGUUUCUGCAAUUUUCAGAUAAUCACACAGAGCAUUUCUUUUAUAAAUUAACCGUCUACUUGAUCGUAGCAGAGAAAAAAACACAAUAAAAGCUAAAUCUUUACCUUCUUGUUUCUUCCAAGUAGCCAAAGAAACAUAGAAGCUCUUCUCCAAGUCACUUAUUUAAACCUAAAAGAACAAUUAAAACAAAAAAAAAUCAAGAUCUAAUGACAAUAAGAGAGACCCGAAAUCAUAAAAUAAGAAAAGAAACAAGAAGUUAGGAUUUUGAAGGCAAAUGGUGAACCUGUGCCACCGGUUUGACAGGAUCAUGGCUGAGCACUUUUUGACAAUAUAUGUAUAUUUUUUUGGUAGGCAGCUAGUGCUAACCGCCUACUCAACAUUUAUAAUUCAGAGCAAGUUAUUCCAUCCUAGGCAACCACAGAAGCUCCAUCACAAAUAUUCCCCAAGUCUUUCAAGGAUCCAGAAACUAAAAUUACUUUUGGAACUCAAGAAGAGUGUGAAAAUAAUCGAAAUAAAAAGCUCUCAAGUGUGGAAAACUAGCAGAGAAACCAAGUUGCUUAAACUCUUGUUCAGUCCUGUGUUUACCUUUGGCCUUGUAGAUGGUCAUAACAAAAUGUCCCCUUCUAAGAGAGCACGAGUCCUCUGACUUUCGUUUGAAUCAUCAGGCAGCACAGGCUCGCAAGCAAUCAGUUUUCCUCCUGCCGGAAGAGCCUUGUAACAGUUCUCCAUUAUCAGCUUGCAUUCAUCAUCAGUCCAUGGAGUUAAAACCCACUGAAAAGAAAAGAGGCAAAUCAACCAAUUUUUUUUUUUUUUUUGCGUAUGUUAACAUUAGAAGCAUAAAAUCAAAAGAAAAGUAUAAAAGUAUGAAAGUAUAGUCUGUCAAGAAUGAUUUAUUUUGACAUUGGAAAAACAAAAUGAUAUUUAUCAGGAGGUGAAACAACUUAUAAAAAUACUCUAGCAUAUAACUUGAAACUUCACUAUGAUAGUUAUCAAUUUGAUUAGUUUCUCAAUUUGCAUUUUGUUCUUCCAGAUAAUGGUCAAAGGGUAGUGGAUUAACACGGAGACAACUAUUAACCAUGAUCUCCAUUUACAUGGUUAACACUAUUCAAAAUACACAACUAAGGGACAAGAUAUAUAUAACCUGCAAUUUAAUCCUCACCUAAUGGCUAAUAUUUUCUCAUCAGUAUAAUAGACUGAAAUGAAACCUAUCAUGUGUUCAACUAAUUUAAUUUGCAUCAAUCAAAACAACUUCUUUUUCUCCAGCUUUCUGUCUCCCCCGACACAUUCUAAAGUAAAUGAAGGCAGUAAAUAGGUGUUGUGGCAAAUAAUCCCAAACCUUCCAAAGUAAUGACCAUUGUUAGAUGACCAGCUCUGACAAUCGACGAUAUAUAGUAUAUUCCACAAGAAACUACUAGUUGUUAAGGAGAAAUUUUUAACUCAAACAGAGUUGUACAGCUAUGUGACUAGUGAGAGAGAGAAAGAAAGAAAGAAAGAAAGAGAAAUAAGCCAAACAUAUAAACAAGAAAUUUCAUAAUAGCUAAAAUCAUUUGCAGCAUGUAGGAUACAUAAUAGCUCAUAGCCUUCACUCUUACCUAAUCAAGGCCAACACCAUGAAUCUCCAUCAUUAUGAAAACAUAAAUCUCUAAUUUCACAUAGUCAAAGAAAAGAAAUAAAAUGUGAACUCAAAAGAACUCACCAGUGAUACUAUCUAGAAUAGUUAUAAACAUAUUACAAUAUAUCAACUGGAAAAAUAUUUUUCUGUAUAAAAAGCAUCUUCUAUAUAGCAAGGACAAUGCGUAUAUAAAAUGAUCCAACAAAUUGCACAAAAGUAUAGAAGUUUGGAAGAGUCCUUAUCAGGAUACAAGAAUCAGCAAUUACAUACCUCGAGCCCCUCAUCUUGCUCCCAAGCAAGGCCGGGACCAUUAUACAUAUUCUUGAUGAGCAGAGUUCACAAUUUAUCAGGGUAAAAAUGAACUCUGCUGCAUCUCUGACCAAACCGACAAGCUCCAGUCUUCAAAUGGAAAGGACAAUGAGCUUUAUCCUGCCAUAUAUAAUAAAAACAUGAUUGACCAUGAUAAACAUGCAAAUAUAAUAGAAAUGAAAUAUAAUACAGUAAUUGCAAAUUGAAAAUUUCAGAUAGAUAGAUUGAAAGAAAAGGCAUGCCUGUUCAGUUCCAAAAUUGGGCACUUGUUGAGCAACAGUCUCCAACGCCUGUUGUGCAUUCUGGUGAUCAGAAAAGGCUUCUGAUUGUCUGGGCAGAGGAUUUGAUGUAGGCUUAUCAACAUCUGUAAAGGAAGUAAUAACGUAGAAAGUUUAAUUUUUUCCAUAACCGAAGAGAAUGGGCAUCUUGAAGUAAAGUAGAAACAAGCCUAACAUAGCUGUCAAUAGAGUCAAAAUUACCUCUUUUUUACUUAGUGGGUUCGCAUCAUUCUUCGGAACUCUGACCUUUUUCUUCCUGAUAAUAAUCUCAUUUCCUUGCCAUAUAAUUUCUGCAGGCCCUUCUUCAACAUAUUCCCAAUCAUCAUCCUCAUCACAUUCAUUCUCCUUUCGCCUCUAAAUUCGCGAUGCUUCGAGAACACGCCAUAGUUGCUGAGCAAGCGGAGGAUACGUUGCAAGUUCUCGGCGUCCCCAUCGCCGGAUGGGAGGAUACGUGUCAAGAUCUGGGAGGCGGAGAGAGGGGUGUUGGCCCCACCUUGCCAGAUAGCAUCCGGUAUGUGGAGACGGAUGGCAGCGGUUAGAGACAUGGGAACACUUAUCAUGUUGGCCAGAUCCAUUAUGGCCAGUCUUACCUUCUUCCCGCCAUCUCUGCACUCGUUAUCUUCUAUUACUGCUUACUGACCUUUGAUUUCGCAGCACCAUGCCGGCCAAACAAAAAGAUAAGACCUGAGCACUUUUUGACAAUUUGGAUGUUAGGGAUUUUUCAGAUCUGGGGAGCUUAGGAGGGAAUGAAUACUUUGGUAGAGGGAGUUGAAAAGUUGUAUUUUGGAUAAGACAAGACUUGUCCAUUUGUUUUGUUUUUAUCCACUAAAAAAGCACAACUCUAAAAAAAAUUAAAAAUAAUUCGUAGCCUAGUGGCCUUUUGAUUCAAUGUAGAAGCUCUAGGUUUAAGAGGUCUUGGGUUCGAAUUCAGACUAAAACAAAAUUAAAAUGAUAAUUUUUAAUUGCUGAUACAUAAACGUCAGUGACCGCUAUUAUUAAAGCUAUUGAUACUUCAGUAUUAGUAAUUAGUGAUACAUAUUUGUUAAAUGCGGAAAAUGAUCCAAAUAUAUGUAUAUACUGACACUUUUAAAUAAAGUGUCAGACCACAAGUAUCGGUAAAGACUAUUUUUCUAAUAGUGUAAUUAGUUGGUUUUUUCUUUUUUUUUUCUUUUUUUUCACCUUUUCAUAAUAAUAUAUGUUCCUAGCAAAGCCUGAAUUUAUAGUUUAAAUUAAUGAAUUACUUACCUGAGCAUUGAUCUCAGUAACAGUGCCAGAAUUUAUUAAUUUUGUAGCUUAAAUUGCAUACAUUUAUGCACACACACACUAAGAACAACAUGUUAUAUUCAUCAAUUCAUCUCAAAAUAACUAACUAACCAGAUAGCUCAGCUUCUUUUCUUUCCAACUGAAUUUCUGCACUUGGUAGAUUCUCAGCAAGUUUAGCAAUAACCUUUAGGAACUCCAAAUAAUCCGGGUCUUUAUUAUCCACAUCAAAACCAAAUAUGACUUAUUAUUGCAAUACUUUUUUUUUUAACUGAUUAAGCAUCAGGUUACUGUAUUACACAGAGAUAUAUACAACUGCUAUGACUGCAGGUCAUUACACUGAUAUUUACAAUCAGAUAUAUAUAUAUGGGACUUACAUUAUUACAUUUUUAGUCUAUGAAGCACAUGCCCAACCAAAUACCCCUUACGGAGGAGGGAUGUCUCUACUCCACUCGCAUUUCGCAAGGGAGAAAGACAUUAUAAGUAGUCUCCACACAAUUAUAUUUAAUUGAAGGAGGUUGAGUCUGUAGGGACUCGAACCAUUGCCCUCAUAGUCAUGUUUAACUUUGAGGGCAAUGGUUCACCACUGGGCUACAAGCCCAAGUGGCAUUACUGCAGUACUUCUAAAAAUAAUAAGAAGAUAAAGAAAACAAAGGUAUUCUUGUAAUUGCUGUGCUUUUACUUAACUUUGAUAUUUAGCAGCUUAAGUGUACAGUAAAAGCCACAGUACUUCAACCCCAAAAGUGCCCUAAGUUUUUUUUUUUAAAUAAAAAGAAUCACUAUAACAUAUGCACUUUAAUUUUCCUAAUUAAGUGUAUUAUUUAAUUUUUUCCCUUCGAUAUUAAUUUUAAAUUUGUCAUGACAUAAAAUUGAGACAAUUCAAACACGAUUCAAUGGCCGUGUAGUUGGAUUUUAUUUCAACACGUGUCCAGCAUUAGCUUAAUUAGUAGUAAUCUUUAAAAAAAAUUAAUUUCUAUAAAUGGAAGGGAGGGAACUAAUUUUCAAAAGAGAAAAGAGAGAGGGGCACGCGAGAGAGAAGGAGAGAGAGAGAGAGAGAAAUUGACCCGUUUAGCCCGACUCGACCCACGAGACCAACCCGGGUCCAACUCUCGUUUCCAGCCACCGUUCCGGUCAAGCUUGGUACUGAUCUGAAGCUUGAGUGACGCCGGUCAAAUCCCCGCUGUCAUCGUCACUGGAAAACAGCCAGAACGCCGGUGAUUGAAGCUUGAAAGACCGCGGCUCAAUCCAUUUUCGUCGCCGUCAAUCUCGCCAGAAUUAGGUUGCACCACCGGCUGCUUUCGAUUCCUAUCACCAGCUUUUAUUUCCGACCAACCUCGCCACCUGAAACUUCCGUUUUGGCUGUGAACGACCGCUAGAAAGCUCACAGCUUUGGGAGCACGAUUCGCCGCCAUUGCCGCACGUGGAAGGUCACCGCCAGCACCAUUGGACUCAUCGAGAUCAGAACUAUCAGACUUGAGCUUCCCGUCACCGUUAGCUGAAUUCCGGUCACCGUUGACCGGUGGGGGCAUUUCGGUAAUUUCACAAGACUUUAGGGGGAAUUUGUAAUUUGUGGAAUCGGUGGAUAAUUUGGUAAUUUUAGGUUAGGGCAGUGAGGUAAUUUGAGACUUCAAGGGUAAUUCGAUAAUUUAAAUUAUUAACGACAUUAUGGUAAUUUCGCACUUUGAGGGUAAUUUCGUAAAUUCAAAACUUGUGAUUAAUUUUGUUAUCUGAAUUGAGGACAAUUUGGUAAUUUAAGAUGUUAAGGAUGAUUCGAUAAAUUAUGAUUUCGAUGGUAAUUCGGUAAAUUUUGGUGUCAAGGGCAUUUUGGUAAUUUUUGGACAUAAGGAUAAUUUUGAAAUUUUAUGUAUCCGGGAGUUUGAUUUUGAGCUUUAUUACGUACUGUUAGUCGUACUUCAUGAUACAAAUAAUAAUUAUGUCGUUUAUUUAAUUAGGAGGACCCACGAGCGAGAAUCAACCCGCGGACGUUUAUAGUACCGAGUCUGGAUAUCGUCACUGUGAGUGGAAUAUACAAAAUUUAUUUUCAUAGUAUAUUCUAAUUUUACCAUACAGUACAACAUAUUUUGAUAAUAAGUAUUUGAUGCUUCGAUUUAAUGAUUUUCUAGAAAAUUAAAAUUUAUUCUACGUGCUGAUAUUUAUUAUUAUUAAAAAUGAGUUUGAUUAAUGAUUUUAUUAUCAUUUUUUGAGAAAAUGCAUAAUAUUAGAAUUGAGUGGAUUUGAGAUAUAUUGAAUAAAAAGGAAAUGAGAUUUCAAAUGUGAUUACAUGUUUAUGUACAUGUGUAUAAAAGGUUGUUUGGAAAAUCAUUGGACAGUACCCUUCCCCUUCAGAUACAGAGAUACAUAUAAUAUGAGAUGAAUACAGUGAUAUAGAUGAUAUGAGAUGAGAGGCCUUUGGGGUCGUCUGAACACACAUAAAGGCUUUGGGCCGUGUGUUUGGGCGCUUUUGCCUUUUGGGGGCUUAUGCAUGCAGUAUGAUGAUUACAAAGAUACAUAUGUUGAGAUAUAUGAGAUAUGAGAUGACAUUUUCUAGUCUAUCCAUUGUAGCUCCGGUAUGAUGGUUCCUUGAUUGCCCGUCCGUCGAGGUCCGGAUAUGAUGAGAUUAUUCCCCUAGGUACUUGUUUGGUGAUAGUUUUUGGUAUUAAGUAUUUGAUAUUAUAAGUAUUAUGAUUUCAUUGAUUUUAUGCAGAUUUAUGUAAUACUGUUAUUUCAGUGCAUGAUUUGAAUUAAAUAAGUUUAUGUAAGUUCUUAUGAUAUUUUGAUGAAAUUAAUUUGGAAAAGAUUAAAUCAUUUUAAAUAAAUUUAUUUUUUCAAAAACUAUUAUCCACUCACUGAGCUUACUGAGUUUUAUACUCACUCCAUUUUUAUUAUAUUCCCCCUCCCCCCACAGGAGAUUUGCAGGUACAUCAGUGACCCAGUAAUGAUAGUUAGAUUGAAAUUAUGGCCACGUGAUGAUGUUAGGAAUCAUAGAUGUUUUGUUGAGACAUUUUGAAUUGGAUAAUUUAUUACUUAUUUGUGAUUAAGGAUAAACUAUUGUAUUCUUAACAUUAUAUGUUUGAAGGAUACUGGUAUUUAAAUUGAGGAAGUUGGUUGUGGAGGUUGAUUAAAUAUUGUAUUAUUUUUUGGGAGUGUUUAUUGUAUAAAUUGCAGAUUUGGGGAUGUCAUAAUUAUAUAGGAGACUUUGUCGCAUUUUUGGUAGAAUUCUUAGAUAUCAGAAUUAUUAUUAAUUUGAUCAAUUGAGAUUAGAUAGACUCGUCUUGGAAAUUCGAGGCGGAUCGUUUCAAUUACCUUUAAAAAUGGUGCCUUCACGACUACCCUUUCUAGAACAAGGCUUGGGAACAUGUUGAGAUGGAGCAUAUUCAACAAUAGCCUUAAACUGAGCCCCUAAUCAAGAACCCAAUAACACAUAGAAUUAACCAAACAGAAAGUGCCCUUUUCAUUUGAAACAACAUAAACACAUUCAUACCAAAUUAAGAUUGAUAAGUAAAAGCAAAAGGGUUAGCAAAAUUACCCUUUUUCAUUAACAAACACAUGUCCAUUCAACAACUUAGCAAACUCAAACACAUCCUAAAUUUUCGGGCGAACGCGGAACCAAUUGUAACCGUCAUUGAAGUGAUCGUGGAAAAGGGCUAAAAGGUCAUUUUGAGAGAGGGAAAGAGACAAAUGACAAAUCACUACUUUGGUUCUCUACAAUGGCUCCGUCAUUUCAUUGCAUUCAAUUUGUUCCGACUGUAUUGAAUUCAAAAAAUUGAAAAAGAGUUUUGACUACUUUGUACCCUAAUUUUCAAUUUGGGUUGAGAAUGAAAUUGGAAUAUUGUUUAUUGGAAAGUUUUGGACACACAUAACCGUUGUGUUUUCCUUUGGAGAGGCCUUUGAGCACUAACAAGAUUCAUUUUUCGUUGCCCGGGACAAAGGGCAAUUGACAUUCCUCAUUUCCCUUAGUAUUUACUUAUGGGGAGUUUAGGCCAUCUCCAAUGUGACAUCAAAACUAACAGCAAAUCACCUUUUACAUUAUUUUUGGUGUACAAUGCUUCUCCAAUGUAACACCAAAACCAACACCAAAAUGAUGUUUGAAUAGUAUUGCACCAAAAAUGGUGCAAUACUAUUCAUUUGGUGCUAGGAAAAAAAGUCCCAAAUAUUAAGAUGAAAAUUUUAUAUUUCAAGCAGUUCUUUUUUCACUUACUGCUGUACGGCCAAGGCGGAUGUACGGUACAGCAGAUAAUAUUUUAAGUUAUUAUUAUUAUUUUUGUUAUUAUUUUUAUUUUAUUUUUAAUUUUUGAAUAUUAUACUAAUAUUUUAAAUAAAGAAAUAUUCAACAAAAAAAUUAAUAAUAAAAAUAAAAUUCCAAUAACAUUAAUUACUAGAUUACAUAUUACAAAGUUAAAAAUACAAAAUUAAAUUAACACAAAAUUAAAAAAGCUACUACUACCAGCAUAAAUUAGAACAAUUAUUUAAUAAUAUGGGAGAUCAUUAUUAGAUCUUCCAAUAUCAUCAAAAUAUUGGCCAAUAUUAUUGGAAAUAUUUUGAGAUGCUUGGCCUUGCGGAGACCUUCUCUGCAAAAUCUUAAUUUGUUCAUUUUGAAAAUAUUGACGUAAGCUCGAAUCACUUAUCGAAUUUAAAUCUUGAAGUAAAAUUUUGUUUUCUUCACGAUAUGUGACCAUCUCCAAUUUUUUUUCUCAUUUUGGGCUCGUAUCAUUUGAAUUUGAUAAUUUUGUUGCCUAUCUUCACUGCCUUUUUUGAGAAUUUCAUAUAGUCAUCGAUGGUCUUCUUUAAUAGUAUCAAUAACUAGUGAAUUUUGAUCUUCAACUUUCCUUUUUCCUUUUGCCUUCAGAAUGUCUCGAAGUUUAUUCAGUCGUAUUACUAAUGCCGUGCAAGGUCAUGACAACUAUUUUAUGUAGCGAAGGGAUGGCGUUGGCAGACUUGGGUUAUCUGGUCUUCAAAAUAUCACUGCCGUAUUUAGGAUGUUGGCAUAUGACAUGCUAGCAGAUGCUAUUGAUGAGUAUAUUAAAAUUGGAGAGUCUACAACAAUUGAAAGUUUGAAGAGGUUCUGUCGUGCAAUUGUGGAAGUUUUUGCAAAGCAACAUCUUAGAUCACCCAACGCUAAUGAGGUCGCCAGGCUACUCCAUGUUGGUAAAGAACGUGGUUUUCCAGGAAUGUUAGGUAGCCUAAAUUGCAUGCACUGGAAGUGGAAAAAUUGUCCAACAGCUUGGGCUGGACAAUAUGCUGGUCGUAGUGGAACCCCAACUAUUAUUUUGGAGGCUGUAGCUAAUUAUGAUCUUUGGAUAUGGCAUGCACAUUUUGGUUUGCCUGGUUCAAAUAAUGAUAUUAAUGUGUUGGAGGCAUCCUAUCUUUUUGCCAACCUCGCUUCAGGUAUUGCUCUUCCUGCUCAUUAUGUUAUUAAAGGGAACGAAUAUAAUAUGAGUUAUUAUUUAGCUGAUGGUUUCUACCCAAAAUGGUCUACUCUUGUACAAACUAUCAAUGAUCCAUGUGGUCAUAAAAAAACAUUAUUUGCCAUGAAACAAGAAGCAUGUCAGAAAGAUGUAGAACGUGCAUUUGAAGUCCUUCAAUCACGUUUUGCAAUUGUUGCUGGACCAUCACGCUUUUGGAACAAACAUGUGUUACAUGAUAUAAUGAUUGCUUGCAUUAUUAUGCACAAUAUGAUAAUUGAAGAUGAACGUAAUGUUAAUGCAACAAUUAAUGAUUGGAUGUAAGCACCAAUACCAACAAUUGAUAUGAGGGUAGAUGAGAGUACUAGAUUUCAAGAAUUUAUUGCUCGACACAAAAAAAUCAAGGAUAAAGAGGCUCACCUUAUACUCCGAAAUGCACUAAUUAAUCAUUUAUGUGAUGAAUUUAGUAAUUCGAAUAACUAGAGUAUUAUUAUUGUUAUCGUAUUUUUUUAUAUUAAUGUAAUGUUUAAUUUUCAUAAUGCACUAAUUUAGUUAAUUAAAGGCAAAUUUAAUAAUUUUCUAUUUUUUUUGUUAAUCGAUAUAAAAUUACUUAAUACUUAAUCUAUAUUAAUAGUAAUAUUUAGUGUGUUAAUUGAAUUAAUUCUUGAGAAUUAAAAGAAGAAAAAGAAGAAUAUUCUUUUUGGUAUAAAAUUUGGUGCAAAUGGGUUGGAGAUGAAAUAGUAAUUUGGUGUGAAAAAAGUAAAUUUUUGGUGUUGGUGUUACACCAAAAUGGUGUUAAAGCAUUGGAGAUGCCCUUAGGGGCCUUGACGUAUAAAAUGACCAAGAAGCCCCUAUGUAGUAUGAAUAUGCUGAUUUAAUAAAGAAAGAUGAUCAAUAAUAUUAAUAAUGGGAAAUUGUAAGCUCUCCUUUAUACAAAUCAAUAUAUAUUAAUUACUUUAGUAUUGCUUUUGUAAUGCACACUAGUUUUUUAUUAGUAUAAUUUUAUAGAAUAAUUUUUAUUUUUAAAUAAAUUUUUAUUCAUAAUUAUCAUAAAUUUAAUUUUUUAUUAGUAUAAUUUUUAUUUUUAAAUAAACUUUUAUUCAUAAUUAUUAUAAAUGAAAUGAAUUUUUUAUAUUAUAAAACUAGUAAUAAAUAAGUGAUAUAUAUUAGUUCUAAUAGAAAAAAAAUUAACAACUUCCUUAAUAAUAAAAGUGACGAAAUAAUGAAAGGCAAAAGCAAACUCUUUUAGAUUCUUUUCUACAUCUCAACUUUCUAUUGAAAAAAGUAAAUUUUUGGUGUUGGUGUUACACCAAAAUGGUGUUAAAGCAUUGGAGAUGCCCUUAGGGGCCUUGACGUAUAAAAUGACCAAAAAGCCCCUAUGUAGUAUGAAUAUGCUGAUUUAAUAAAGAAAGAUUAUCAAUAAUAUUAAUAAUGGGAAAUUGUAAGCUUUCCUUUAUUCAAAUAAAUAUAUAUUAAUUACUUUAGUAUUACCUUUAUAAUGCACAAUAAUUUUUUAUUAGUAUAAUUUUUAUUUUUAAAUAAACUUUUAUUCAUAAUUAUUAUAAAUGAAAUGAAUUUUUUAUAUUAUAAAACUAGUAAUAAAUAAGUGAUAUAUAUUAGUUCUAAUAGAAAAAAUAUUAACAACUUCCUUAAUAAUAAAAGUGAUGAAAUAAUGAAAGGCAAAAGAGGGAAAUUGCAUGUUCAUUCCUCUUUUAGAUUCUUUUCUUCUCAACUUUCUAUUUAAACUCUUUUAUAUUCUUUACUUCUCAACUUUCUAUUUAAACUCUCUUAUAUUCUUUUCUUCAAACUCUUUUAGAUUCUUUUCUACAUUUCAACUUUCUAUUUAAACUCUCUUAUAUUCUUUUCUUCAAACUCUUUUAGAUUCUUUUCUACAUUUCAACUUUCUAUUUAAACUCUCUUAUAUUCUUUUCUUCAAACUCUUUAGAUUCUUUUCUACAUCUCAACUUUCUAUUGAAACUCUCUUACAUCUUUUAUUUCUUAACUUUCUAUUUAAACUCUCUUACAUCCUUUACUUCUCAACUUCCUAUUACAUUCAUUACUCAAUUUAUAAAUUUCAUACCUUAAAUCCUAAAAUUUAAAUCAAGUCUCUUCCCCUUUCUCAUCUCUUCAUACGCAAUGCAAUCUUUUUUGUUCUCCUCUCUUUGCAAGUAAGUAAAAUCUUAGUUCAUCGCAUCAUCUCACAGUUUGUUUUCAUACUUUGCUUUCUUCAAAUUGCCCUCGCAUUUUCCUCUCAAUCUCAAUUUCUGGUUUUUUUGUUUGUUGUAGACUCGAUUUUCUUUACCUCGGUUUGUAAAUUUUAUCGGAUGUAAUGCAUAAUCAUGGGCGACCCAAUUAAUGCCCAGGAGGGGCUUCAGCCCCUUUUAGGCCAUUAAUUUUUCUUUUAAAUGUACCCCACGCCCUUUCUAAAAGAAUUAAAUAAAAAAAUUUGGACACAUAUUUUAUGUAACAAAAGACUUAUGGUUCAAUGAUAAGAGUGCUAUUUGAUGGUUUUAAAGUCCUGGUUUAAAUCCCAAUAGCCACAUUAUUUUGUUUCUUUUUAUAAAUAGUUUUUGAAAAUUACUUAGAAAAAUGAUACUUUUAUGCAUUUAAAAUAAAAAGUUUAUUACUAUUAUUAUUUAAAAUUUAAAAGAAAAUAAUGAAAUUUGAGUCUAUGAGAUUUAAAAUGUAUUCAUGUGAACAUUAAAAAAAAACCCCAAAUUAAAUAAAAUGUUUUGAACUAAUCCCCCUAAUUUAAGUAUCUGGGUCCGCCACUAUGCAUAAUUGAUCGUUGUCGUUUUUUUUUCAAUAAUUUCGUGAAACAUGCAUAAUUAAAUUAAAUUAUACAUCAGCAUAAUUAAUUAAUUAACUGAUGCUGUUUAGAUUCUGUGCUUGAUUAUAUAGCAAUUCAUCAUAUUUUAUUAUGAUUAUAAAUUUAACUAUAUGGUCGGGGUCUGAGUGAUUUUUAUUUUUAAUUUUUUUAAUGAAUUUAUUCAUGUUCCGUUGGAUAAUAUUUAAAGUAAUAUCAAAUAUAAGUUUUAAUGGAGUGAAAUUGUAUGGGAAUGGUAACUAAGUUUUCUUUCUUAUUCUUUAAUGAUAAAAAUUGAAUUCAAUGUGAAAGUGGUUUGAUAUUGUAAAUGCAUUGCAGGUAAAUUGAUUUUUUUUUUAGGAUGGGAGAAAGAGUGGUUGAUGGCGAUUGGAAGCCUACUUCUCCAUCUAAUGGGGAGCGCACUGUGGUUUUACUUGGCCGUACUGGCAAUGGCAAAAGUGCGACGGGCAAUAGUAUUCUCGGGAGAAAAGCCUUCAAGGCGAGUGCUGGCUCGUCUGGUGUUACUAAAACUUGUGAAAUGAAGACAACCGUGCUCAAAGAUGGCCAAGUUGUUAAUGUCAUUGAUACCCCCGGUAAUUUGCUAAUGUUGGUUCCUAGAUAUUCCAUUCCAUGCUUGUUGAUGUUGUGAUGGUAAGUAGAUUGAUGUUACGAGCCAUUGCAGGACUUUUUGAUUUGUCUGCUGGCUCUGAGUUUGUCGGCAAGGAAAUUGUCAAAUGUCUCGGUAUGGCCAAGGAUGGCAUCCAUGCAUUCCUUGUAGUUUUCUCUGUUACAAACCGUUUUUCUCAAGAGGAAGAAACUGCAGUACACCGUUUGCCGAACUUGUUCGGGAAAAAUGUUUUUGACUAUAUGAUUGUUGUUUUCACUGGAGGGGAUGAUCUUGAAGAUCAUGAGAAAACAUUAGAAGAUUUUUUGGGUCAUGAGUGUCCAAAGCCUUUAAAGGUUUGUUUCUGAACUCUUAUAGUGUUCGAUAAUUUCAUCAGUCAUUUUGAUCAAGUUGUCUUUGGCUGGUUCUUUUGUGAAGUUUUAGACUCCUUUACGGUUGGACUAUUGGAAGUUUAAUAUGAAUAUAUGCAUGCUGAAAAUACUAGAUAGCUUUAUAGUAGGCCAGCCGUCUUAAAGUUCCAUUUUCAAUGGUGCUUCAUUUCGUGAAUGGUUUUCUUCUGCCAUGCGGGAUUGGCCGGAGAGGUGAUUGGUAAUUUUCUGCUGGCGUUACUUAAUUUUACUUAUACGUUAUUGUCUUCGAAUGAGAUAUCAUUCAUUCAUUCGCUAAACAUUUUUGCUUUUCUUAUUUGUAUUCUUUGAUUUCCUCUGCGAUUUAAUCUUGGUUCUUAUUCUAUUAAGGUGUGUUCAUUUGUUUGUUUCUCAAAAUAUGUACCUCUUUGAUUUAUACGCUCAAAAUUAACCUACUUUUAAGAUUUUAAAAGUGGCCCAAAGAGGAUGUGACUUGCUAUACAGGUCCAUUUUAUUCGGCGUUAUUUGAAUAAAAUAUCAAGACUAACUUUACAAGAUUUAAAAUUCUCUUAAAAGUUCAUGUGGAUUCUAGGCUCAGAAUUGGUGUCUAAAAUUUCAAUGUGAGAUCUUUUUCAAGUUUCAACAUGCAAAUCUCUUAUUUUCAGAAUUUACUUGAUGAUUUUGGUUCCUAAAAUUUUUUAACUUGAGAAAGAUUUAUAUCAAGUUCUUCUAUUUUACUGCAUACUUGAUUCAACCUAUGAGGAGUGGGAAGAAAAAUAACAAAAAUGAAAAUAAAGACCCCUUUAAGUUGUAGCUUUGCAAUUAACAAAAUCCGGUUAUUUUACAGUUAAAGGGAACUUUGUUUUACUUAUUGUACUUAUUAUUAUUAUUAUUAUUCCUACUACUACUACUUAUGUUAUAUGGAAUGCUGAUCACCUUUUAAGAUUUUAAAAUUUGAUGGACGUAAGAGGUUAUGUAAGUGGUCAAACCAUAAGGAGAAUGGAAUUGAUUAUUAAAUAGUUUUUGAGGAUGCCUGAUAAUAAGUACUAACGAUCACAAUAAAAAAAAAUUUUGUCAGCUUAAUAUCCUCAAACUUUUAGAGACUACAAGUGUUUGAUUGGUUGAUCAAUGCUUACCGAAAGGAGCUAACAUUUGCUUUAUUCCUGAUCAUUUUCCAAUUAUUUUAGGAAAUCCUUCAACUAUGUGAUAAUAGGUGCGUGCUUUUUGAUAACAAGACCAAGGAUGAGGCCAAGGGAACCGAGCAGGUUCGGCAGCUUCUUUCUCUGGUUAACUCUGUGAUCGUGCAGAAUGGUGGGCAGCCAUAUACGGACGAGUUGAAGGUGACUUCAUUACUAUCGGGAUAGACUUCUGUGCUGCUUCUUUCUGAAUAUGUCAUGACAAUAUCUCUUUUUCUUUUUUUCUACUCAGAGAGGGGCCACUGAACUCCGUGAUCAAAAAGCUGAGGUUGAUUCUCUCAAGGAAUAUUCAAAACGAGAAAUUUCAAAGCUGAUGGGCCAGAUGCAGGAAUCAUAUGAAGAUCGAAUCAAACGAAUGGCUGAGAUGGUAUUUUUUAUGCUCCAUGUUUUGGCAUCAAAAUAUGACAUGCAUAUGUGUUCAUCUCUCAAAUCGGGUAAUCAUUUCUCAAACUGUGUAAUUAAAAAAUGACUAUAAAGCCUGCAGGUACCUGUAACGAUAUUCUAAAUUGUUAGACUUGGAGGUUGUAAAGACUGCCGCUCUGUCCGUACCCCUAGAUUGUUGGAGAUUGCCAUAUGAAAAGAGGCCUUAUCUUGCUAGUUGAUGUGGACAAAUCUGUUAUUAUUUGUUCACUCAUUAUGUUUUGAAGGCCGUAACAUGCUGUUCUUACCUUGAAGAUUGUUUGACGGUCCUGCUCUGUUUUUUGUUGAUGAAAUUAAGGUGGUUUACUAAUCAUGACUUACACUAAGGUGGAUUCUGCACUUGUUUAGUCAUCAAUCAUGAGAACAUUUCUUGUAAUACUGUGGGAACAAUUGAAAUGUUACGAGCAGGUUAUGUCAUAAUUUAAUUUUGUUAAAAAUAGAAUAGCCAUAUUCACAAUAAGUUUUUAUGAAAAUAUAGUUACGCACGUGAAACCUAAUCAAAUGGCUGCGUAGUUUUGAUUUUCCUUUCCACAGUUUUAAUUUAUUGCAAGGCAAUAGAAUGAUUCGGCAUUAAGCCAUAUCCUAUUCAACAAUAAUCUGGAUUUGCUGUAACAUUCUGUGUAAUGAUUAUAUGUCGGAGGUGCUAAUAAGUUUUAUUCUCGACAAUCCUGGAGUAUGGCAAAAUGAAAAAGUUAGCAGAUUCUUUAACACUUUUAUUUUGGAUUUAUGUGUUUAUUUUUUUAAGCUCUUGUUUCUACCAUUUAUCAAUGAUUGAGAGUGGAAUUGAUUGGUCAUAAAGUUGUGCCGAGUAUGGUGAACUUAGCAACUCGCUUUGCAAUUGAAUUAAACUAAAUUGAUACUUAAGAAUUUUUUUCUCUUAAGUUGGAGUUUUAUAUUACCAAUAUCCAAUUUUUUUGUAUUGUGCUGCUACUCUAGGGCUUAGUGGCAUGUUUUCUGACUAAUAUUGAUGCUUUUUUGAUAGGUUGAGUCUGGGCUCAAAGAGACAACAACUAGGCUCGAACAGCAAUUGGCAAAGGAGCAAGCUGCUCGAUUAAGGGCAGAAGAGGUAGCACAAUUAGCUGAAAUGAAGUUAAAAGACGAAAUUCAAUCUCGAAGUACUGAAAAGGAGACUGCGGAACCCCCUAAGCCAUCUGAAAAUCCUCCGCCGGAGCCCCCUAGGCCACCUGCAAGUCCUCCGCGGGAGCCCCCCAGGCCACCUGCAAGUCCUCCGCCGAAGCCCUCUAGCACAUCUGAUGGGUGGUGUGCCAUUAUGUAAAUGUUCGCAGUCCAGACGCUUAUAUCUUCUGUUAUGUAAAUGUUCACAGUCCAAUCUCGAGUGCGGUCUUAAGAUAGUACUACAUGAAAAAACGGUAUUGACAUCAAAUGAAGUUUCAUUUAUGGAGCCAUCUAGAAUCUUUUCUUACACGGUGGAUCCGAAGAGAUCUGAUUCCUUUUCUCCUCAUUGAGCUCUUAACGAACGCUAUAUUGUUUUCACAUUUGUAGCAGAUACUACCCAAAAUGUGCCCUUCUAACAAUCAUGACUUUCCCAAAAAUUCAAACCGACUAACAGAGUAAUCCUAAUAUCCGAAAGACUUGCUAUAAAACCACCAAGCCUUUGACCCUUCUCUGAUACGCACCAUAGUUCAACUAGCUCAUAAUGCAAAUCCUUCGACAUCACACAGCCUCAGUUUUGAAAGUUUUAUAGAUAUUAAGUUUCAGCAUAAUAACUGGUCUCCCAAAGAGAAGAUGCCAAUGAUAAGUCAGCCUAAGUAAUUAGGUUACACAUAAAUUCAUCCAAUUUCAUAUAUUGCUGGUUUCAAAAAUAGGUAUCAAGUAGCACACACAUUCAGUAGAUAAUGAUAUUCUGAUCGUAGAUCUCGUACUGAGAUGCCACAAGCUUGAUCUCUUGCAAACGGGAGAAAACAUUGAUGCACGCUCAACACGAGCUCAUAGAAAUGAAAUGUGAUGGGAGAAUUAAUUACCCGAGAUGGAGUAUCUUCUUGUCCGGAUGAGAGUGAGCAAAGCCGCCACCCUCGAUAAUAGCAGGACUGAAGAAAUUCCGAGAAGCUAAUGCAUGGAUUGCAUUCAGCUCUUGCCCAGUCGCCAUGUUUGCUUGCUGAAACCCUUCCAUUUCUGCUAUCUGAGUUUCAGAAACAACGAAAUUUUAAUAACGUGCUGAAAUUUUGGAAGAGGGCGAGAACAAAUGCAUUAUACAUACAAAGGAUUGAUUUGCAUACCUUUGAUCGGAGACGCACGCUUUCAUUUUCCAGCUCAACCUCCUAUGAAAAUGAAAAUGUCACAGAGUUCCAUAAAAGCUUGGAAGAAAACGAAAAAAAAGGCUAAACAGGAUUUAAUGAACUUUAAUUAUUACCCUUUUCUACAAGAACUCAAUUUUAGGAAACAGACAAAGCAACAAAUUAUUUUCAAAAUGACAUAAAUUACAUAUAUUGAAUGUACAUCGAUAAAGUUUAUGCAAUGUAUUGUUGCAAAACAAUGGUGUAUUGCUCAAAUUCAAUUAUUUUUUGUAUGCAUAAUGCAAUUAAUUAAUUACCUUCUUGGACCUGAUCCUAGUGAUGCCUCACUCAAGCCUGUUCUCCAGUUGCUUAAGCUCCUUUACAGUUAAAGAACUCAGAGAAUCACACAUCAGAUGCCGAUAUGAAGAGUCAAGAGUGAGAUAACCAAUUGAAAAUUCAAUUGAAAUUGUAUAUUUUGGAAUAAAAAAUUAACGACACCUAAUAUGAAAAUGAUUGUUGAUGAAAUAAUUGAAAAUAUCUGUUCGAAUUCUGUGAGAUUUGAAUUUGCUGCCGCAGCUUUGCUGACUCCUGCUGAUAGUACUGUUUCCAUGGGUCACAUGUAAUUGGAGAAGUUUAAUUUUUAUUGGGAACUUUUUAUUUCAAUGCUAGCUAUGUGGUAACCAAUGAUAAUUAGUUGGCUUUUUUUUUUUUUUUUUUUAACCUUUUCAUAAUAGCAUAUAUUCCUAGUAAAGCCUGAAUUUAUAGCUUAAAUUAAUGAAUUAUUUACCUGAGCAUUUAUCUCAGUAACAGUGUCAGAAUUUGAAUUAUCCGAACAUGCCUUCUUGUACCUAUCAAUGGUUGACCUUAUGCUGCUACGUGCAUAACACAUAAAUUUCUAAUUAUUUAGUAUAAUUGUUUGAAAUUGUUUUUGGGAAAAAAAGAGGAAUAAGAAAAGAGGGAGCUGAAGUUUAAUAAACAAUUUUAUUUCUUUAUUAAAUAUCAUUUAUGUUAUCUCAUUAGUUUUCAUGAUCCCUCAGUCUUCAGCUACAUGGAUAAACAAACAUAGACAUAAAAAGAAAGACAUGUUAAGUAAGAUGUAUGAAAAAAUGUUUUAUUUUAUUCUUAAUUCUUUAUUCUCAAUGAGGACAUUGGAAUAAGUUUACUAAACCUAGCUACCCUCUACAUCUAGCUAGGUCAUUAAUUCCAAGCUCAAAGUGGCAUUUAUUUACUCUCUAAUUUAAGAGAAUUUUAUCCCCACAAGCCAAUUGAAUAUUGAGAUGAGAACUACUAAACUAAUAGGUGCUUCUUGAUAUACGUAUCAAGUUAACAUUUCAAGUUCUACGCCUGAUAUUUCAAUUGUAAGUUUAAUGUGUAAGGUUUCUUUAAUCUAACAUUUUAAUUGACAGCCACUCCCUAUAGCUUCCUAAUCAUAAAUGAAAUUAUAUGUGCCCACUCCCUAUAAUUUGAACUUUGAAGUGAAGAAGUUAGCACUUUAUAUCCCCAUCACAUUGAAGAGUAAAAAUCUCUUUCACGUUUUAGGUUUCUAUUCACCAUGCAUGUGGAAAGAGCAAGACCUAAUAGCAUUUUAAAUUUCUUCAAACAAGUCCAUCACUUUAAUAGCACGAAAAUGUUAGUGCAAACUGAGAAAGAAACCAAUACACGAUUGAAAAUUUUCGGUGCUUUUAGAGUCAAAAGUACUGAAGAAAACUGAAGUGAAAGAUAUGAUUCAGAUUGCUUCAAUGAAGAAAAAAGAUAUGGGAAAAUUUUAAUUUAAAGCUAAAAGUAGAAACAAAAGCCAAAGAAAAUUGAGAAUUUGUAAAUGAUUAUAAAAGGAAAGAAUCCAUCUGGCCAGACUUCAGAUCACUGCAGCAAGCUGUAAUUAUUAAUAUGAUUAUUAAUGUAUUGCAGCUGCUGUGUAUUUUGUCAAAUGAUCUAAAACCCUAGAUACAGAUAGGAAAGUCACCGCAGCCUUUUCUUUUUCUGGGGAAUUGGAGUGGACAACUUCGGUCAAAUUUUUAUUUUUUUUCAUUUUUAUAAAAACAUUUUAGCUACCAUGAAAUGAUGUACUUGCAAGAGUCUAACUUUCAUCACGAACAAAAACCCCUUUAUGACAUUCGUUUAAUUAUAUCAAAAAGUUGAAAUUGUUGAAAAACAUUUGUUCAAAAAAAAAAUAUUGUUUUUCACCAAAGCAGUGACUCAAGACCAGCAAUAUUCUUGACCACUAAAGUCUCUUUACCUAUUUUCUAAUUAGGAUAACAUUAUUUAUAAUUUACCUUAAAAUGCAGUUGAACGACUUUCAAUUUCUUUGUUUAAUUAGUCAUUCGAGUUGAACUCCUAAAAAAGAUAUGAAUUAAAAAUAAUGUUUGGGCUAUGCUCCUUCCCCUUUAAUAAAAACUUGAAAAAAUAAAAUAAAAUGAAUUCAUGAUGUGGUUUUAUCUCAAUAACAUUAUUACUGCUCCUAUGGGGGAUUUUCAACUGUUACUAGUUAUAUAAAUGGCUAAUCUAAAUAUCUGAACUCUGCUAUAUAAUAGGCUAAUCCAUGCCAUUCUAAUAAAUAUUUAACUUAGGGAUGGCAAAAUAACCCGGACCCGGCCCGGACCCGGAUAAUCCGGGCCGGGUUGAACCCGUACCAGAAUGUAAAAAAAUCCGGGUCCGGAAUAAAUUUUAAUAACCCGGAUAUAUCCGGGUCCGGGUUCGGGUUUAGGUUAACCCGGACAUCCGGAACCCGGACCCGGAUAUUUAAUUUUAAUAUUAUUUUUUAAUUAAUUUUAUUGAUUAAUCUAGAUGUGUUAUUGCUUGGAAAUGUAUUAAUUUUUUAUUUUUAGAAUUUUAGAAAUUGAUAUUGAUUCAUUGAUCCGGGUUCAAAACCCGGAAUCCGGAAACCCGGAUUUUUCCGGGUUGAACCCGGACCCGGACCCGGGUGAAAAAAUCCGGGUUAAAAUCCGGGUCCGGGAAAAGAAAAUAGUAUCCGGGUCCGGAUCCGGAAAGGCUAAACCCGGACCCGGACUCGGAUUUUGCCAUCCCUAAUCUAACUAUUAAUUCUAUAAACUAAAAGGAAAAAAAUAAUUGUACUUUUAGUAGUACAUAUACCAUGCUAGCGAUAUUGAAUUCAACUUUCUAUUUAAACUCUCUUAUAUUCUUUUCUUCAAACUCUUUUAGAUUCUUUUCUACAUUUCAACUUUCUAUUUAAACUCUCUUAUAUUCUUUUCUUCAAACUCUUUUAGAUUCUUUUCUACAUUUCAACUUUCUAUUUAAACUCUCUUAUAUUCUUUUCUUCAAACUCUUUUAGAUUCUUUUCUACAUUUCAACUUUCUAUUUAAACUCUCUUAUAUUCUUUUCUUCAAACUCUUUUAGAUUCUUUUCUACAUUUCAACUUUCUAUUUAAACUCUCUUAUAUUCUUUUCUUCAAACUCUUUAGAUUCUUUUCUACAUCUCAACUUUCUAUUGAAACUCUCUUACAUCUUUUAUUUCUUAACUUUCUAUUUAAACUCUCUUACAUCCUUUACUUCUCAACUUCCUAUUACAUUCAUUACUCAAUUUAUAAAUUUCAUACCUUAAAUCCUAAAAUUUAAAUCAAGUCUCUUCCCCUUUCUCAUCUCUUCAUACGCAAUGCAAUCUUUUUUGUUCUCCUCUCUUUGCAAGUAAGUAAAAUCUUAGUUCAUCGCAUCAUCUCACAGUUUGUUUUCAUACUUUGCUUUCUUCAAAUUGCCCUCGCAUUUUCCUCUCAAUCUCAAUUUCUGGUUUUUUUGUUUGUUGUAGACUCGAUUUUCUUUACCUCGGUUUGUAAAUUUUAUCGGAUGUAAUGCAUAAUCAUGGGCGACCCAAUUAAUGCCCAGGAGGGGCUUCAGCCCCUUUUAGGCCAUUAAUUUUUCUUUUAAAUGUACCCCACGCCCUUUCUAAAAGAAUUAAAUAAAAAAAUUUGGACACAUAUUUUAUGUAACAAAAGACUUAUGGUUCAAUGAUAAGAGUGCUAUUUGAUGGUUUUAAAGUCCUGGUUUAAAUCCCAAUAGCCACAUUAUUUUGUUUCUUUUUAUAAAUAGUUUUUGAAAAUUACUUAGAAAAAUGAUACUUUUAUGCAUUUAAAAUAAAAAGUUUAUUACUAUUAUUAUUUAAAAUUUAAAAGAAAAUAAUGAAAUUUGAGUCUAUGAGAUUUAAAAUGUAUUCAUGUGAACAUUAAAAAAAAACCCCAAAUUAAAUAAAAUGUUUUGAACUAAUCCCCCUAAUUUAAGUAUCUGGGUCCGCCACUAUGCAUAAUUGAUCGUUGUCGUUUUUUUUUCAAUAAUUUCGUGAAACAUGCAUAAUUAAAUUAAAUUAUACAUCAGCAUAAUUAAUUAAUUAACUGAUGCUGUUUAGAUUCUGUGCUUGAUUAUAUAGCAAUUCAUCAUAUUUUAUUAUGAUUAUAAAUUUAACUAUAUGGUCGGGGUCUGAGUGAUUUUUAUUUUUAAUUUUUUUAAUGAAUUUAUUCAUGUUCCGUUGGAUAAUAUUUAAAGUAAUAUCAAAUAUAAGUUUUAAUGGAGUGAAAUUGUAUGGGAAUGGUAACUAAGUUUUCUUUCUUAUUCUUUAAUGAUAAAAAUUGAAUUCAAUGUGAAAGUGGUUUGAUAUUGUAAAUGCAUUGCAGGUAAAUUGAUUUUUUUUUUAGGAUGGGAGAAAGAGUGGUUGAUGGCGAUUGGAAGCCUACUUCUCCAUCUAAUGGGGAGCGCACUGUGGUUUUACUUGGCCGUACUGGCAAUGGCAAAAGUGCGACGGGCAAUAGUAUUCUCGGGAGAAAAGCCUUCAAGGCGAGUGCUGGCUCGUCUGGUGUUACUAAAACUUGUGAAAUGAAGACAACCGUGCUCAAAGAUGGCCAAGUUGUUAAUGUCAUUGAUACCCCCGGUAAUUUGCUAAUGUUGGUUCCUAGAUAUUCCAUUCCAUGCUUGUUGAUGUUGUGAUGGUAAGUAGAUUGAUGUUACGAGCCAUUGCAGGACUUUUUGAUUUGUCUGCUGGCUCUGAGUUUGUCGGCAAGGAAAUUGUCAAAUGUCUCGGUAUGGCCAAGGAUGGCAUCCAUGCAUUCCUUGUAGUUUUCUCUGUUACAAACCGUUUUUCUCAAGAGGAAGAAACUGCAGUACACCGUUUGCCGAACUUGUUCGGGAAAAAUGUUUUUGACUAUAUGAUUGUUGUUUUCACUGGAGGGGAUGAUCUUGAAGAUCAUGAGAAAACAUUAGAAGAUUUUUUGGGUCAUGAGUGUCCAAAGCCUUUAAAGGUUUGUUUCUGAACUCUUAUAGUGUUCGAUAAUUUCAUCAGUCAUUUUGAUCAAGUUGUCUUUGGCUGGUUCUUUUGUGAAGUUUUAGACUCCUUUACGGUUGGACUAUUGGAAGUUUAAUAUGAAUAUAUGCAUGCUGAAAAUACUAGAUAGCUUUAUAGUAGGCCAGCCGUCUUAAAGUUCCAUUUUCAAUGGUGCUUCAUUUCGUGAAUGGUUUUCUUCUGCCAUGCGGGAUUGGCCGGAGAGGUGAUUGGUAAUUUUCUGCUGGCGUUACUUAAUUUUACUUAUACGUUAUUGUCUUCGAAUGAGAUAUCAUUCAUUCAUUCGCUAAACAUUUUUGCUUUUCUUAUUUGUAUUCUUUGAUUUCCUCUGCGAUUUAAUCUUGGUUCUUAUUCUAUUAAGGUGUGUUCAUUUGUUUGUUUCUCAAAAUAUGUACCUCUUUGAUUUAUACGCUCAAAAUUAACCUACUUUUAAGAUUUUAAAAGUGGCCCAAAGAGGAUGUGACUUGCUAUACAGGUCCAUUUUAUUCGGCGUUAUUUGAAUAAAAUAUCAAGACUAACUUUACAAGAUUUAAAAUUCUCUUAAAAGUUCAUGUGGAUUCUAGGCUCAGAAUUGGUGUCUAAAAUUUCAAUGUGAGAUCUUUUUCAAGUUUCAACAUGCAAAUCUCUUAUUUUCAGAAUUUACUUGAUGAUUUUGGUUCCUAAAAUUUUUUAACUUGAGAAAGAUUUAUAUCAAGUUCUUCUAUUUUACUGCAUACUUGAUUCAACCUAUGAGGAGUGGGAAGAAAAAUAACAAAAAUGAAAAUAAAGACCCCUUUAAGUUGUAGCUUUGCAAUUAACAAAAUCCGGUUAUUUUACAGUUAAAGGGAACUUUGUUUUACUUAUUGUACUUAUUAUUAUUAUUAUUAUUCCUACUACUACUACUUAUGUUAUAUGGAAUGCUGAUCACCUUUUAAGAUUUUAAAAUUUGAUGGACGUAAGAGGUUAUGUAAGUGGUCAAACCAUAAGGAGAAUGGAAUUGAUUAUUAAAUAGUUUUUGAGGAUGCCUGAUAAUAAGUACUAACGAUCACAAUAAAAAAAAAUUUUGUCAGCUUAAUAUCCUCAAACUUUUAGAGACUACAAGUGUUUGAUUGGUUGAUCAAUGCUUACCGAAAGGAGCUAACAUUUGCUUUAUUCCUGAUCAUUUUCCAAUUAUUUUAGGAAAUCCUUCAACUAUGUGAUAAUAGGUGCGUGCUUUUUGAUAACAAGACCAAGGAUGAGGCCAAGGGAACCGAGCAGGUUCGGCAGCUUCUUUCUCUGGUUAACUCUGUGAUCGUGCAGAAUGGUGGGCAGCCAUAUACGGACGAGUUGAAGGUGACUUCAUUACUAUCGGGAUAGACUUCUGUGCUGCUUCUUUCUGAAUAUGUCAUGACAAUAUCUCUUUUUCUUUUUUUCUACUCAGAGAGGGGCCACUGAACUCCGUGAUCAAAAAGCUGAGGUUGAUUCUCUCAAGGAAUAUUCAAAACGAGAAAUUUCAAAGCUGAUGGGCCAGAUGCAGGAAUCAUAUGAAGAUCGAAUCAAACGAAUGGCUGAGAUGGUAUUUUUUAUGCUCCAUGUUUUGGCAUCAAAAUAUGACAUGCAUAUGUGUUCAUCUCUCAAAUCGGGUAAUCAUUUCUCAAACUGUGUAAUUAAAAAAUGACUAUAAAGCCUGCAGGUACCUGUAACGAUAUUCUAAAUUGUUAGACUUGGAGGUUGUAAAGACUGCCGCUCUGUCCGUACCCCUAGAUUGUUGGAGAUUGCCAUAUGAAAAGAGGCCUUAUCUUGCUAGUUGAUGUGGACAAAUCUGUUAUUAUUUGUUCACUCAUUAUGUUUUGAAGGCCGUAACAUGCUGUUCUUACCUUGAAGAUUGUUUGACGGUCCUGCUCUGUUUUUUGUUGAUGAAAUUAAGGUGGUUUACUAAUCAUGACUUACACUAAGGUGGAUUCUGCACUUGUUUAGUCAUCAAUCAUGAGAACAUUUCUUGUAAUACUGUGGGAACAAUUGAAAUGUUACGAGCAGGUUAUGUCAUAAUUUAAUUUUGUUAAAAAUAGAAUAGCCAUAUUCACAAUAAGUUUUUAUGAAAAUAUAGUUACGCACGUGAAACCUAAUCAAAUGGCUGCGUAGUUUUGAUUUUCCUUUCCACAGUUUUAAUUUAUUGCAAGGCAAUAGAAUGAUUCGGCAUUAAGCCAUAUCCUAUUCAACAAUAAUCUGGAUUUGCUGUAACAUUCUGUGUAAUGAUUAUAUGUCGGAGGUGCUAAUAAGUUUUAUUCUCGACAAUCCUGGAGUAUGGCAAAAUGAAAAAGUUAGCAGAUUCUUUAACACUUUUAUUUUGGAUUUAUGUGUUUAUUUUUUUAAGCUCUUGUUUCUACCAUUUAUCAAUGAUUGAGAGUGGAAUUGAUUGGUCAUAAAGUUGUGCCGAGUAUGGUGAACUUAGCAACUCGCUUUGCAAUUGAAUUAAACUAAAUUGAUACUUAAGAAUUUUUUUCUCUUAAGUUGGAGUUUUAUAUUACCAAUAUCCAAUUUUUUUGUAUUGUGCUGCUACUCUAGGGCUUAGUGGCAUGUUUUCUGACUAAUAUUGAUGCUUUUUUGAUAGGUUGAGUCUGGGCUCAAAGAGACAACAACUAGGCUCGAACAGCAAUUGGCAAAGGAGCAAGCUGCUCGAUUAAGGGCAGAAGAGGUAGCACAAUUAGCUGAAAUGAAGUUAAAAGACGAAAUUCAAUCUCGAAGUACUGAAAAGGAGACUGCGGAACCCCCUAAGCCAUCUGAAAAUCCUCCGCCGGAGCCCCCUAGGCCACCUGCAAGUCCUCCGCGGGAGCCCCCCAGGCCACCUGCAAGUCCUCCGCCGAAGCCCUCUAGCACAUCUGAUGGGUGGUGUGCCAUUAUGUAAAUGUUCGCAGUCCAGACGCUUAUAUCUUCUGUUAUGUAAAUGUUCACAGUCCAAUCUCGAGUGCGGUCUUAAGAUAGUACUACAUGAAAAAACGGUAUUGACAUCAAAUGAAGUUUCAUUUAUGGAGCCAUCUAGAAUCUUUUCUUACACGGUGGAUCCGAAGAGAUCUGAUUCCUUUUCUCCUCAUUGAGCUCUUAACGAACGCUAUAUUGUUUUCACAUUUGUAGCAGAUACUACCCAAAAUGUGCCCUUCUAACAAUCAUGACUUUCCCAAAAAUUCAAACCGACUAACAGAGUAAUCCUAAUAUCCGAAAGACUUGCUAUAAAACCACCAAGCCUUUGACCCUUCUCUGAUACGCACCAUAGUUCAACUAGCUCAUAAUGCAAAUCCUUCGACAUCACACAGCCUCAGUUUUGAAAGUUUUAUAGAUAUUAAGUUUCAGCAUAAUAACUGGUCUCCCAAAGAGAAGAUGCCAAUGAUAAGUCAGCCUAAGUAAUUAGGUUACACAUAAAUUCAUCCAAUUUCAUAUAUUGCUGGUUUCAAAAAUAGGUAUCAAGUAGCACACACAUUCAGUAGAUAAUGAUAUUCUGAUCGUAGAUCUCGUACUGAGAUGCCACAAGCUUGAUCUCUUGCAAACGGGAGAAAACAUUGAUGCACGCUCAACACGAGCUCAUAGAAAUGAAAUGUGAUGGGAGAAUUAAUUACCCGAGAUGGAGUAUCUUCUUGUCCGGAUGAGAGUGAGCAAAGCCGCCACCCUCGAUAAUAGCAGGACUGAAGAAAUUCCGAGAAGCUAAUGCAUGGAUUGCAUUCAGCUCUUGCCCAGUCGCCAUGUUUGCUUGCUGAAACCCUUCCAUUUCUGCUAUCUGAGUUUCAGAAACAACGAAAUUUUAAUAACGUGCUGAAAUUUUGGAAGAGGGCGAGAACAAAUGCAUUAUACAUACAAAGGAUUGAUUUGCAUACCUUUGAUCGGAGACGCACGCUUUCAUUUUCCAGCUCAACCUCCUAUGAAAAUGAAAAUGUCACAGAGUUCCAUAAAAGCUUGGAAGAAAACGAAAAAAAAGGCUAAACAGGAUUUAAUGAACUUUAAUUAUUACCCUUUUCUACAAGAACUCAAUUUUAGGAAACAGACAAAGCAACAAAUUAUUUUCAAAAUGACAUAAAUUACAUAUAUUGAAUGUACAUCGAUAAAGUUUAUGCAAUGUAUUGUUGCAAAACAAUGGUGUAUUGCUCAAAUUCAAUUAUUUUUUGUAUGCAUAAUGCAAUUAAUUAAUUACCUUCUUGGACCUGAUCCUAGUGAUGCCUCACUCAAGCCUGUUCUCCAGUUGCUUAAGCUCCUUUACAGUUAAAGAACUCAGAGAAUCACACAUCAGAUGCCGAUAUGAAGAGUCAAGAGUGAGAUAACCAAUUGAAAAUUCAAUUGAAAUUGUAUAUUUUGGAAUAAAAAAUUAACGACACCUAAUAUGAAAAUGAUUGUUGAUGAAAUAAUUGAAAAUAUCUGUUCGAAUUCUGUGAGAUUUGAAUUUGCUGCCGCAGCUUUGCUGACUCCUGCUGAUAGUACUGUUUCCAUGGGUCACAUGUAAUUGGAGAAGUUUAAUUUUUAUUGGGAACUUUUUAUUUCAAUGCUAGCUAUGUGGUAACCAAUGAUAAUUAGUUGGCUUUUUUUUUUUUUUUUUUUAACCUUUUCAUAAUAGCAUAUAUUCCUAGUAAAGCCUGAAUUUAUAGCUUAAAUUAAUGAAUUAUUUACCUGAGCAUUUAUCUCAGUAACAGUGUCAGAAUUUGAAUUAUCCGAACAUGCCUUCUUGUACCUAUCAAUGGUUGACCUUAUGCUGCUACGUGCAUAACACAUAAAUUUCUAAUUAUUUAGUAUAAUUGUUUGAAAUUGUUUUUGGGAAAAAAAGAGGAAUAAGAAAAGAGGGAGCUGAAGUUUAAUAAACAAUUUUAUUUCUUUAUUAAAUAUCAUUUAUGUUAUCUCAUUAGUUUUCAUGAUCCCUCAGUCUUCAGCUACAUGGAUAAACAAACAUAGACAUAAAAAGAAAGACAUGUUAAGUAAGAUGUAUGAAAAAAUGUUUUAUUUUAUUCUUAAUUCUUUAUUCUCAAUGAGGACAUUGGAAUAAGUUUACUAAACCUAGCUACCCUCUACAUCUAGCUAGGUCAUUAAUUCCAAGCUCAAAGUGGCAUUUAUUUACUCUCUAAUUUAAGAGAAUUUUAUCCCCACAAGCCAAUUGAAUAUUGAGAUGAGAACUACUAAACUAAUAGGUGCUUCUUGAUAUACGUAUCAAGUUAACAUUUCAAGUUCUACGCCUGAUAUUUCAAUUGUAAGUUUAAUGUGUAAGGUUUCUUUAAUCUAACAUUUUAAUUGACAGCCACUCCCUAUAGCUUCCUAAUCAUAAAUGAAAUUAUAUGUGCCCACUCCCUAUAAUUUGAACUUUGAAGUGAAGAAGUUAGCACUUUAUAUCCCCAUCACAUUGAAGAGUAAAAAUCUCUUUCACGUUUUAGGUUUCUAUUCACCAUGCAUGUGGAAAGAGCAAGACCUAAUAGCAUUUUAAAUUUCUUCAAACAAGUCCAUCACUUUAAUAGCACGAAAAUGUUAGUGCAAACUGAGAAAGAAACCAAUACACGAUUGAAAAUUUUCGGUGCUUUUAGAGUCAAAAGUACUGAAGAAAACUGAAGUGAAAGAUAUGAUUCAGAUUGCUUCAAUGAAGAAAAAAGAUAUGGGAAAAUUUUAAUUUAAAGCUAAAAGUAGAAACAAAAGCCAAAGAAAAUUGAGAAUUUGUAAAUGAUUAUAAAAGGAAAGAAUCCAUCUGGCCAGACUUCAGAUCACUGCAGCAAGCUGUAAUUAUUAAUAUGAUUAUUAAUGUAUUGCAGCUGCUGUGUAUUUUGUCAAAUGAUCUAAAACCCUAGAUACAGAUAGGAAAGUCACCGCAGCCUUUUCUUUUUCUGGGGAAUUGGAGUGGACAACUUCGGUCAAAUUUUUAUUUUUUUUCAUUUUUAUAAAAACAUUUUAGCUACCAUGAAAUGAUGUACUUGCAAGAGUCUAACUUUCAUCACGAACAAAAACCCCUUUAUGACAUUCGUUUAAUUAUAUCAAAAAGUUGAAAUUGUUGAAAAACAUUUGUUCAAAAAAAAAAUAUUGUUUUUCACCAAAGCAGUGACUCAAGACCAGCAAUAUUCUUGACCACUAAAGUCUCUUUACCUAUUUUCUAAUUAGGAUAACAUUAUUUAUAAUUUACCUUAAAAUGCAGUUGAACGACUUUCAAUUUCUUUGUUUAAUUAGUCAUUCGAGUUGAACUCCUAAAAAAGAUAUGAAUUAAAAAUAAUGUUUGGGCUAUGCUCCUUCCCCUUUAAUAAAAACUUGAAAAAAUAAAAUAAAAUGAAUUCAUGAUGUGGUUUUAUCUCAAUAACAUUAUUACUGCUCCUAUGGGGGAUUUUCAACUGUUACUAGUUAUAUAAAUGGCUAAUCUAAAUAUCUGAACUCUGCUAUAUAAUAGGCUAAUCCAUGCCAUUCUAAUAAAUAUUUAACUUAGGGAUGGCAAAAUAACCCGGACCCGGCCCGGACCCGGAUAAUCCGGGCCGGGUUGAACCCGUACCAGAAUUUUAGAAAUUGAUAUUGAUUCAUUGAUCCGGGUUCAAAACCCGGAAUCCGGAAACCCGGAUUUUUCCGGGUUGAACCCGGACCCGGACCCGGGUGAAAAAAUCCGGGUUAAAAUCCGGGUCCGGGAAAGGAAAAUAGUAUCCAGGUCCGGAUCCGGAAAGGCUAAACCCGGACCCGGACUCGGAUUUUGCCAUCCCUAAUCUAACUAUUAAUUCUAUAAACUAAAAGGAAAAAAAUAAUUGUACUUUUAGUAGUACAUAUACCAUGCUAGCGAUAUUGAAUGUUAAUUAAUUAUUAACAUUAAAUAUCCCUUGCUAGCGAUCUUGAACGUCCUACAAACAGCAGUCAAUCUUCGCUCCAAACAUGGAAGUAUAAAUGAUCUUUGCCUAGUUUGUAACUGUUGGUGCAAAUUUUGUCCCAACUUAUGAUAUGGAAAUUUCGACUGAGGACAACCCCCUUAGGACUUGGGUUCCUCUUUGUUAGAUUUUAUGAUGGUGAGUUCAUUAUUUGGGCUGAUCUUUAUGGGCCUUUAUAUAUGCUCUUCUGAGUCCACUUCCUUAGGCACUCAGCAGGUCCUUACUUGUGAUACUCUACAAACACAAGAAAAUGAUCAGAGGGCCGGCUUUGCCGGCGUAAACCCUUUGACGGUCAAGUCAAUCACCGGACUUUUGGAAAUAUAAAUUUAGAAAGAGAAAGAUUAGAGGGAGAAAGUUAGCAUUUUUCCCUUUUGAGUCUCUUUUUGUUUGUCUUACCUUUUAGUGAGAAUGAAAGACAUAUUUAUCGACCAAACUGAUUUGACUUGGGUCCUAGUUUUUAUCCUUGAAAUAAGAUGCUCAUUUGUUUUGUUGAACUUGAAUAAAGAUACAAAAUUUUCAUCUGUUAAGUUUAUGAAAAUUUAGAAUCGAUCCAAGGACAUUCAUCAUUGUCACAACUUUUUUUUUUUUUUUUAACAUCUCAUGGAGAAUUUACUUGACUGGGAGAAGUAGUCUUUUAUUCAUCCGCAUUUUGUCUUUACAAAACUUGUCUGACCAUUGAGGAAAGAUCAGACUUAUAUAAGUACAAGAUCAUACUAUUGAUGGUAAAUCCUGAGAUGCUCAGCAUUCCAAGCAUGCCUCAAGAUCUUUCCACCUAAGGUAGACAAAAUAUAAGUUCCUGGCCUAACUACUUCUCUGAUUAUGUAAGGUCCAUCCUAGUUAGGACCCAAGGUGCCAACACCUGGUUCUUGAGCAUUAGGCAAAACCUUCUUUAGAACAAGAUCUCCAAUUCUGAACUUCCGAAUUUUAACUCGAGCAAUGUAGUAACGAGCUACUUUGCCUUGAUAGGCAGCGACCUUGAUCAUAGCAUGAUCCCUCUUUUCUUCUAAGAGGUCUAAACUUUGGCGUUGUAGCUCAUCAUUGAUGACAGGAUCAAAGUGUUGUACUCGAUAAGUCGGCGUUCUUAUUUCAGCAGGGAUGACAGCUUCUGCACCAAAUGCCAAUAAGAAGGGAGAUUCUCCUGUAGGAGUCCUUGGUGUAGUUCGAUAAGACCAUAGGACGAAUGGUAAUUCAUCUGGCCAUGCUCCUUUGGCUUUCUCUAACUUAGCCUUCAGAAUUUGCUUAAUCACUCGAUUGGCAGCUUCAACUUGUCAAUUAGCCUGAGGAUGGGCAGGAGAAGAGUAACAAUUUUUUAUCUUAAGCUUUCUACAAAACUCACGAAAUUUGUCAUUGUCAAAUUGCCUCCCAUUGUCAGUGAUUAUAGUAUGAGGUACGCCAUACCGACAUAUGAUGUUCUUCUGAAUAAAGUCGGUAGUUUUCUUCUCAGUAAUAGUUGCCAAAGGCUCAGCUUCCACCCACUUUGUGAAGUAAUCAAUGGCAACUAUAGCAAACCUUACUUGCCCCUUUCCUUUUGGCAGAGGACCAAUUAGAUCAACCCCCCAUUGGGCAAAUGGCCAAGGAGUAAGGAGAGGAGUUAACUUUUCUGGAGCUUGCUUGGGUAUAAUAGCAAACCUUUGGCAUUUAUCACACUUUUUUGCUAACUCCAAGGCAUCUCGUUGCAUCGUCAGCCAAAAGUAUCCUUGUCUCAUAGCUUUGUAGGUAAGUGCUCAUCCUCCAGAAUGAUUUCCACAUAUCCCCUCAUGGAUUUCACGUAAGACAUUAUCUCCAUCUUCGGGUGUCAAACACUUGAGAAGAGGAAGUGAAUAUCCAUGUUUGUAAAGUUGAUUAUCCAUGAUCACAUACCUUGUAGCUCAGUAUCUCACCUUUUUUGAUUCAUUCUUGUCCCUUUGGCAUUUAUCACACUUUUUUGCUAACUCCAAGGCAUCUCGUUGCAUCGUCGGCCAAAAGUAUCCUUGUCUCAUAGCUUUGUAGGCAAGUGCUCGUCCUCCAGAAUGAUUUCCACAUAUCCCCUCAUGUAUUUCACAUAAGACAUUAUCUCCAUCUUCAGGUGUCAAACACUUGAGAAGAUGAAGUGAAUAUCCACGUUUGUAAAGUUGAUUAUCCAUGAUCACAUACCUUGUAGCUCGGUAUCUCACCUUCUUUGAUUCAUUCUUGUCCUCAGGUAAAGUUCCAUUCAUAAGAUAACUCAUAAUUAGGUCCAUCCAGGAACUCCGAUGGUCAAUGGUUGCCACUUUCUUUUCUUCACAUUUAAUUAUGCUUGGCUCGGGAAUGAUGACUGUCUCAGUAAGUCUUUUUCUGGUAAGAAAGCUAGUUGAACUAAUGCAUCAGCUCGUGUGUUUUGUUCCCGAGGAAUUUGCUUCACCUCACAAUUGAAGUCCCUUAACAACUCAUUAACUCGAUCAAGAUAUGCAAUCAUGUUGAAAUCCCGAGCUGUAUAGUUGCAAUUCACUUGAUUAACUACCAAUUGAGAGUCACUAAAGACAAGUAAAUCCUUUGCACCUAAGGCUCGAACUAGCCUAAGGCCAGCCAGAAGAGCUUUAUACUCUGCUUCAUUGUUGGUAGCAUUGAAGCCAUACCUAAGAGCGCAUCCAAUCUCAACAUUGUUUGGAGUGAUUGCUAUAAAACCUGCACCACAUCCUCGUUUACUAGAGGAUCCAUCGACAUAGAGAGACCAUUUAUCUUGAUGCUCCUCUUUAGGAUCAAGUGAUAUAAUAUCUCCUUCAGUAAACUCAGCAAUGAAGUUUGCCACUGCUUGCCCUUUUAAUGAUGUCCUAGGAUGAUAUAAGAUGUCAAACUCCCUAAGUUCAAUAGCCCACUUUGUCAUCCUUCCUGAAAUAUCAGGCUUAGCUAAAACUUGUCUAAUUGGUUGAUCAAUGAGGACGAUUAUGGUAUGAGCUUGGAAAUAAGGCCUUAACCUUCUUGCUGAAACAAUCAAGGCUAGAACAAUAUUUUCAAGACUUAGAUACCUUGUUUCUGCAUCAACCAACCCUCUACUUGUAUAGUAGAUAGGCCUUUGCACUCCAUCAUCUUCUCGGACAAGGAUAGAGCUAGUGGCAUGUUCAGACAUUGCAAGAUAAAUGAAGAGAGACUCGCAUUGGAUUGGCUUAACAAGCAAAUGAGGGCUUCCUAAAUAUUCCUUAAGCUUUUGAUCUUCACAUUCCUCAGUCCACUUUAUCUCUUUUCCUUUUCUAAGAGCCUUAAAAAAAGGAAGGCACUUAUCUGUAGCUCGAGAGACAAAGCGAUUCAGGGCUGCUACUUGACCCGUCAACCUUUGAAUUUCUUUAACAUUCUUUGGAGACUUCAUAUUAACCAAUGCUUGGAUCUUCUCAGGAUUGAUCUCAAUACCUCUUUGAUUUACCACAAAGCCAAGGAAUUUUCCUUACGACACACCAAAUGCACAUUUAGUUGGAUUUAACCGCAUCUUGUACUUUCUAAGGAUAUCAAAGGUUUCCCGGAAGUCUUUUACAUGAUCUUCAGGGUUAAGGCUCUUGGUGAGCAUAUCAUCUACAUAAACCUCCAUGGUAUGCCCAAUUUGUUGAACGAACAUACUGUUUACCAACCUUUGAUAGGUGGCUCCAGUGUUCUUGAGUCCAAAUGGCAUAACUUUAUAGCAAUAGAGACCUCGAUAUGUGAUAAAUGCGGUCUUUUCUUGGUCAGGUUCAUGCAUCCUUAUUUGAUUAUAUCCUGAGUAUGCAUCCAUGUAGCUUAGCAGUCCAUGCCCAGCUGUAGCAUCCACUAGUUGAUCAAUCCUCGGUAAAGGAAAACUAUCAUUAGGGCAAGCUUUGUUAAGAUCAGUAAAGUCUACACACAUCCUCCACUUCCCAUUAGCUUUCUUCACCAUCACAACAUUAGCUAGCCAAUCAGGAUACCUUGCCUCCUUGAUAAAACCAGCUUUGAGAAGUUUAUCUACUCAUUCCUUUACGGCCAGAGAUCUUUCGGCGUUCAGACUUCUUCUUUUCUGUCGAAUUGGUUUCAUCUUUGGGUUAGUACUUAAACGAUGUACCACUACCCAAGGAUCAAUGCCUGACAUAUCAUUAUGCAUCCAAGCAAACACAUCAUGAUAUUCUUUCAGAAAGCUAACAAGUUGCUUCUUCAGCGGAUCAGGCAAUCGACCCCCAAUCUUCACGAUUUUACUCAAAUCUUCACCAAGUGGAAAGUCUUCCAAGUCAUCAACUGGGCUCGCCCUUUGAUAGUCUUUUACUGUCCUAGGAUCAAGGCUUGUGAUUUGAAGAGUUUCUUUGCCCAUCCUGAACGCUAUCUCAUAACACUCCCUUGCUUCUUUUUAUUCUCCUCGCACGACUCCAACCCCAGCUUCAGUUGGAAACUUCAACGCAUAAUGAUAAAUUGAAGUUGUUGCUUUUAAAGCAUAAAGAGUCGGCCUUCCUAAGACAACAUUAUAGGAACUUGGUUGAUAAACCACAAUAAGGUUAACCAUAGUGGUCAUCUUAGUUGGGCUUUUUUCGAAAGACACUAUGAGCUCUAUAACUCUUUCAGGAACUAUACUUCCUCCUGCGAAACCAUGAAGUAGAGUCGUGUAAGGUUUUAGCUGUGAUCAUUCUAACCCCAUUCGAGCGAAGGUUGACAAGAAUAAAAUAUCAGCUGAACUCCCAUUAUCAAUAAGAAUCCGAUGAAAACUCCCAUUAUCAAUAAGAAUCCGAACCAUUGAUCCUUGAGAUUGAUUAGUCAAAUUAACCUCGGGACCAUUGGGUUCAUGUCUUGCUUGGCGAGCUAGAUUUUUCCUUGACUUCCUGGAGUCUCCUGCAGCCGGCCCUCCCCAAAUGUGAUUGACAUCAUACAUGCUUUCAUCACUAUCUUCCUUCUUUUUUCCUUUUCUCUUCUUUGAAGAUUCUAGUUGCUCACUCUUUACUCGAUCCUCGAGAUUUCUUACAUACUCCUGUAGUUGCCCUUGUCGAACUAGGCUUUCUAUUUGUUCCUUAAGCUCAAAACACUCGGAGGUGUCAUGCCCAUGAUCUUUAUGAAAAUGACAAUACUUGUUUGGAUUUCUUCGGGAUGGAUUUGUCCUCAUAGGAGGUGGGGUUCUAAACAAAGUUGGAUUUCUUACCUGCAUGAGAAUUUGCUCCCGAGGAGUAUUAAGUUCUGUAAAGUUAGUGAAUUGAGAGGCUAACCGAGGAUGACUGCCUCGGACUUCAGAGCGUUCCCCAGGACGAAAUUGGUCUCUUUUUAGAGAUGGAUCAGGUCUGACAACUCUUCUUUCUCUUCCAUCAUCUUUCUUUUUCUUUCCUUUGAUUGGUUCUCUUUUCUCUUGAUUUCUGUUCUUGAAUCUUUCUUCCGCAUUGGCAUAUUUCUCAGCUCUCGCAAGCAUCUCAGAGUAAGAAGUGGGUGGUCUUUUUGAAACUGACCACCAUAGCUUUCCCAUCCUGAGCCCUUCCAUAAUACCAGAAAGUGCUAUGCCAUCAUCAUAACCAUCUACUUAGGUGAUCUCAUUAUUAUACCUUCUGAUGUAGUCUCUUAAGGUCUCCCCUUCCUGUUGUUUGACGGUCAAUAGGUAAGUCACUGGUUUUCCUCUUUGUCGGGCACUUCGGAAGUGAGAGGUGAAUUCUCUACUCAAAUCUCCAAAGGAUGAGAUGGAGUGUGGCUGCAACAUUCGGAACCAUCUUCGUGCUGCUCCUACUAAGGUAAGAGGAAAAGCCCGACAAAGAAUUGCUUGUGAUGCUCCUUGCACUUCCAUAAGGAUGCGAUACAAUUCUAAAUGCUCAGUUGGAUCCCUCUGCCCAUCAUAAGGCUCCAUUCGGGGUAAAUGAAACCUAGGUGGAUAUUUUGCUACCAUUAUAUCAAAAGUAAAUGGUGGCUCAUGUUCUGCUGUUACAUCAUCAAGUGGACCCAUUUCUCGAACCAUUUGCUCAAGUCUCUGCAUUAUUUCUUGUAAUCCUCUUUUGACUUCCUCUCCUUGGUCUAAACCUUCUCUGGUCAUUCUCCUCCUAAAUCUUCUUUGGUUAAGGGAAUGCCUGAGAUCAUCUUCAUUUAACUCUUCUCUAGACCUUGUUCUAGAGGAGCCGGAAUCAACCACAUUACCUCUACUUGAGUUCUCGCCUUCCUCAGCUCGAGCUGGAAAUUGGCCGAACAUUCUAUUAAAGUUACGAGCCAACUGAUCAACUUGUUGUUGAAGUCGAACAACACGAGGCUGUCCUCGACGUCUAGCGUGGCGAGGUGGAUUCAACUGAGGAUCUGGAGGAGGAUGGAUAGGCACCACAUCAUCAUCAUCUAGGUCUCGUUGUCGUCUCCUUCAUCGGAAGUGAACAUCCUCAUCCACUCUGGAACUUUCAUCAUCAGCCUCAUAGUACUCAUUGUUAGCAUCCAUGCUCAUGGUAGGGCUUCCAAGACUUUUAUCGGAAGAUCCCCACAGACGGCGCCAAACUAUUGGUGCAAAUUUUGUCCCAACUUAUGAUAUAGAAAUUUUGACUGAGGACAACCCCCUUAGGACUUGGGUUCUUCUUUGUUAGAUUUUAUGAUGGUGAGUUCAUUAUUUGGGAUGAUCUUUAUGGGCCUUUAUAUAUGCUCUUCUGAGUCCACUUCCUUAGGCAAUCAGCAGGUCCUUGUCUUGUGAUACUCUACAAACACAAGGAAAUGAUCAGAGGGCCGGCUUUGCCGGCGUAAACCCUCCGAUGGUCAAGUCAAUCACCGGACUUUUAGAAAUAUAAAUUUAGAAAGAGAAAGAUUAGAGGGAGAAAGUUAGCAUUUUUCCCUUUUGAGUCUUUUUUUUUUGUCUUACCUUUUAGUGAGAAUGAAAGACAUAUUUAUCGACCAAACUGAUUUGACUUGGGUCCUCGUUAUUUUGAUGACAAAUGUCAUUGUUCUUGUGACAUUUAGUAACACUUGUCCUCUAGUGCCCAUGUGGAUUGACACAUGGAUAUACAAACUUGUCUACUGAUUAGAGGAAGGAACGUUUUAUCCUUAGGUUAUUUUUACUAAGACCUUGAGAUCAUAAGAGCUUUCAAACUUAGGAGGUUUGUUCUAGGAUAGGAGUCAAGAACCUCAGCACCUUUUGGACUUUAAAUCCUUGCUACCUAGUUGAUUUAUCCUAAGUGAUUUGUCUUAGGAUAAGAAUCUAGGACCUUGGCUCCUUUUGGGCUUUGAAACCUUGUUACUUAGGAGGAUCAUUCUAGGUGAUUUGUCCACCACUUCGUGGGCUUAAUUGGGAGGAAAUUUAUUAGAUGGGCCUUAUUAGACUUAUUUUAUUUUUGGUCCAACAGUAACUCUGAUAAAGAAACUUUUUUUCACCUACUGGUUGACUGUCCUUUUGCAAGAACUUGUUGGAUUCAAUCAAAAGUGGGCUUCUUUGGUAUCUAUUCAUCAUUCAAGGAUUGGCUUCAAGCUUUGUUUAGGAACUGCACUAAUGAGCAGUGUUGGAUUGCUGUUAUGGUCUACUGGAAGCUAUGAAGCAACAAGAAUAAUCUGGUUUGGCAGGGGAAAUGCGACACAGCAAAACAUAUUGUUAAUACAGCUAGUAAUUUUUUGUUUCAAUGGCAGUUAGCUAAAUCCUCUGUGAUGUUUAAUCAAGUCUCAAGUGAUCCAGGUGCUGGUGCUAUUGCUUGGUCUCCUCCUCGAGUGGGCUGGCUUAAAUGUAACACUGAUGCUGCAGUUUUUACUGAUGAGGGAAGAGUUGGGCUGGGCAGUGUUAUCCGUGAUGAAUCGGGGAAAUUUGUUGCUGCUCUUUGUUGUAAUAUCAGGGGAAACUAUUCUCCUCGUGAUGCUGAGGUCCUUAGCAUUCAUAAGCUCUCUCUUUGGCUGAAGUCUAUGAAGUUGUCAAAGGUUAUCAUUGAAACUGAUUGCCUUCAAGCGUUUUAUGCUCUAGUCGAUCGAAAGAGUCCUCUAAAUAGCUUUGGCUCAUUAGUUUUGGAUUGCAAAUGUAUUGCUGAAUCUAUAGGCGAUAUUGUUUUCUCUUUCGUCAAAAGAUCUGAGAAUUCUAUUGCUCACUUUAUUGCUAGAGCGGAAAAUGCUUUGCCAGGUCGUGAAGAGUGGCGUUCUGUGCCACCUUCUUAGUUAAUCUCGGUGCUGUAAUUGCUGGUUUUAUUGUUAAUGAAAUUGCACUUUCCAUAAAAAAAAAACAUUGAAUGUUAUCAAGAUGAUGACAUUAUCAUUAUUUUCUGUAAUUAAAAAUAUUGUAACACUACCGUAAUUAGGAUUUUAGACGAUCAUUUUCCAAGCAUCUCCAUCAAUGAAUUGGUUAUGAAGAAUCUCAAUAGUAAACAAAAGGGACAAUAACUAGUGGGACUCAAAAGACAAUCAAAUACGGGUAUGGAUAGAAAAGGCAAUAUUAUGACAAAAUCCAUUUGCUCUUCAUGCACCAAUCACAACUUUACUUUUUCUGCUUGUUAUUGACUUAACAUGAAAAUAAGAAAGACGAGAACUUCAUUUAAUGAGUUAUAUCACUGCAAACUGAAGAAAAAACAAAAAGUGGACUAAGCUGGCCUGCUUGCUUUCAUUAAAGAAAUGCAAACAAAUUGUAGUGAGGCCUCCAAAGCCGGAACUAGAAACAGACAGUAAUAUUCGAGAAUCAUCAAAUUAAACACUCAAAAAACAUACUAUUUUAUUUAUUUUAUUUGUUCAACAACACUCCUCACCGACAACAACUCUUAUUUUUCACUCUUUACACCUUAAAGAUUUUUGUUACUUCACUUGAUGCUUAAACCAAAGGGGAGAUGGGGUAUUUUUACAUAAAACAAACUAAUCACAACCAUUCAUUUAUUCAACUACUGUAUAAAUCCUCACCAUUCAUUAAAAACUACCACUCACCUAGUUCACCAACCACACCUACCAUACCUACCACAAGAAGCUUCUAUGUAUUUGAGCUUGAAUUUAUUCAUCUUAGAUCAAGUUUAUGAUCCAACACCCUCCCUUAAACUUGAUCCUGUGAUACCAAGCAAACUUCUAAAUUUUACGAAGUCUUCUUGCUUGAGCGGAUUGGUGAAGAUAUCAGCUCAUUGAUCUUGUGAUUUUACAUACUUGAUUUGUACUUCUUUUCUUGCAAUACGCUCUCUUAUGAAAUGAUAGCGAAUAUCUAUGUGUUUGCUUCGAUCAUGAAAGACUGGAUUCUUGGAUAGGGCAGUUGCUGAUUUGUUAUCAACAAAAAUCUCGCUUGGCUCUUCUUAUGGCAAACCCAACUCCUUCAGCAAAUUUUUGAGCCAAAUUGCAUGACAAACACUUGAUGUGGCAGCUACAUACUUAGCUUUACAGGUGGAUAGCGUGACAAUUGAUUGCUUCUUUGACAUUUAUUGGAAAGCAGUAUCUCCUAUGAAGAACACAAAUCCUGUGGUGCUCUUUCGAUCAUCUACAUCUCCACCCCAAUCACUACCGCUAUAUCCAACAAGCUUGUAAUAAUUAGAAAAUGAGUAUAACAAGCCGAAAUUAAUUGUACAUUUGAUGUAGCGAAGGAUUCUUUUUGCAGCUUUAAAAUGAGUGGUCUUUGGAUUCUCCAUGUAUCGACUCACAAGUCCAACAACAUAAAGGAUAUUUGUUCUUGUGCAUGUCAAAUAACAUAGGCUUCCGACCAAACUUUUAAAGAAUGUUGGAUCUAUAUCUUCGCCUUCAUAAUGUUUGGAUAACUUGACUCCGCAUUCCACUGGCGUGCUUAUAGGCUUGCAAUCAUUCAUCUUGAACCUUUUGAGAAUCUUCUUUGCAUAGCUUUCUUGGGAGAUAAAUAUGCCUUCAUUCUUUUGCUUGACUAAUGUUGAGGUAAUAUGUCAUCAGUCCGAUGUCAAUCAUCUCGAACUCUUCAAAUAAGCUUGGAUCACUUUCAGUGAAGAUGAGAUCAUCCACAUACAAGCACACAAUCAAAAUGUCUCCAGCUUUUUCUUUGACGUAGAGAGCAUGUUCAUAUGGGCAUUUGGUGAAGUCGUUCUCUUGAAAAUACUUGUCAAUUUUGCUAUUCCAUAUUGCUUUAACCCAUAAAGAGUUUUCUUCAAUCUCAAAAUUUUGUCUUUAUGUCAUUUCACCACAUAGCCUAACGGUUGUUCGAUGUAAACUUCUUCAAGGAAUCAAUUCAGGAAAGCAGACUUCACAUCCAUUUGAAAAAUCUUCCAUUUGUUCUGAGCAGUCAAAGAAAUAAUAAGUCUAAUAGUUUCAAGUCGAGCUAUAAGAUCAAAUACCUUGUCGUAGUCUAUGCCAGCCUUUUGACUAUAGCUUUUUAUAACUAGCCUCACACCUUGUCGUAGUCUAUGCCAGCCUUUUGACUAUAGCUUUUUAUAACUAGCCUCACACCUUGUCGUAGUCUAUGCCAGCCUUUUGACUAUAGCUUUUUAUAACUAGCCUCACACCUUGUCGUAGUCUAUGCCAGCCUUUUGACUAUAGCUUUUUAUAACUAGCCUCACACCUUGUCGUAGUCUAUGCCAGCCUUUUGACUAUAGCUUUUUAUAACUAGCCUCACACCUUGUCGUAGUCUAUGCCAGCCUUUUGACUAUAGCUUUUUAUAACUAGCCUCACACCUUGUCGUAGUCUAUGCCAGCCUUUUGACUAUAGCUUUUUAUAACUAGCCUCACACCUUGUCGUAGUCUAUGCCAGCCUUUUGACUAUAGCUUUUUAUAACUAGCCUCACACCUUGUCGUAGUCUAUGCCAGCCUUUUGACUAUAGCUUUUUAUAACUAGCCUCACACCUUGUCGUAGUCUAUGCCAGCCUUUUGACUAUAGCUUUUUAUAACUAGCCUCACCUUAUGUAUUUCAAUUUCUCCCUUCGCAUUUCUUUUCGUUUUAUAGACCCAUUUGACAUCGAUCACCUUGUGACCUUUAGGAAGAGUAGUAAGCUCCCAAGUAUCAUUCUUCACAAUGGCUUUAAGUUCUUUAUCCAUUGUAAUUCUCCACUUCUUAUCUAGUGCAGUUUCUUGGAAGUUGAUUGGCUCACAAUCAACAAAGAGGCAAAAAAGAGUGAGAUUAUCAUGUCUCUCAAUUACCUCAUAGAGGUAUUGAAGACUCCUUAUACAUUCUUCGGUUCUUUUAUUUAAGAAAGAUUGUAGUGAACCUCCACAUGUGGUUGAUGCUGGUGAGAUAGGUGGAGUAGUUGGCUCUUGUUGUUCUUCUACUUGUUUUAUUUGUGUAUGAUCAUAUUCUUCAAUGGGAAAUAAGUUGAAGUCAUCCACAUGAGAGCCAAAAUCCCAUUCUCCUUUUUCAUCAAAAACUACAUCCCGACUUAUCACGAUCUUCCCGUUGUUUAGAUUAUAAAGCUUGUAUCCUUUCGAAUUGUUGUCAUAGCCGAUGAAAAAUAAACUUCUCACUUUUGUGAUCCAGCUUGGUUCUACUUUCACCUGGUACAUGUACACGGGCAAUACUUUCGAAAACUCUUAGAUGGGUUAUGCCGAGCUUUCUUCCACUCCAAGCUUCUUGUGGCGUCUUGUCCCACACGCUUUUGUUGGAGAUUGAUUGGAUAAGUAGACUGCACAUACAACAACUUUAGCUCAAAAUUCUUUAGGCAGCCUCUUACUUUUAAGCAAGCUUUUUGCCAUGUCAAGGAUGGUUCUGUUCUUUCUUUCUACAAUACUAUUUUGUUGUGGGGAUUUUAGAACUGGUAAAGGGCAUCGAAUUCCAUUUGCUUCACAAAACUUUACGAAUUCUAUUUGCUUCACAAAACUUUACGAAUUCUUUGGAAGUGAACUCUCCACCUCGAUCAGAUCUCAUGGCUUUAAUGUGGUAUCUACUUUCUUUUUCUACUGCAGCUUUAAACUUCUUGAAAGCUUCAAAGACUUCUGAUUUCUGCUUCAAAAAAUACACUCAACUUUUUCUUAAAAAAACAUCUAUGAAGAGAAGGAAGUAAUUACUUUUACCAAGGGAGCUUGGCUUGAAUGGACCGCACACAUUAGUAUGAAUGAACCCGAGUGGCUUCUGAGCUCUUGAGUUUGAUUCCUUUGAAAAGCUCUUUCUGAACUACUUGCCAAGUAAGCAUCCUUCACAAAGUUGAUCAGGGUGAUUGAUGCAUGGUAAGUCUUUCACCAUGUUCUUCUUAGAUAGUAACUCCAGUCCUCCAAAGUUGAGAUGCCCAUAUCAAAGAUGCCAAGUCUAAGAUGGAUAUUUGUGACAUAUUUUGAGACAUUUUGCAACAUCAUUUUGAAUAAUUAAAGGAAACAUUCUAUUCUUCGACAUUUUUACCUUUGUAAUAAGAUUUCCUUUGUCAUCUCUUAAGAAAAGAUUACAAUCUUUUAAGUGAAUAUCAUAGCAUUUUUCCAAAAGUUGACCAAAAUUAAAGAUGUUUCUUUUUAUAUUGGGCACAUAGUAAACAUUCGAAAUUAUUUAGUGGCUACCAUUUUUUGCACGAAAAAGAAUGUUACCUAUACCCUUCACUGGUACUUUUGAAUCAUCUUCAAAAGCAACACUGCCAUUCACAGAUUUAUUUAGUUCCAUGAACAUGCUUAUGUUUCCACUUAUAUGAUUGCUAGCACCUGUGUCAAGAUAUCAUGUAUUUUCUUGACCUACACUUGUGUUAUUGCGUGCUAGUAAAAGUGUGCCAUCUUUACCAUUUUUCUCUUCUACAUAAUUCACUCUCUCAUUAAUUCUGGUACUUGGAGUUCUACAUUCUGAAGCAUAAUGCCCAAACUUAUGACAAUUAUACUUGGGAUUUGUGAUACCUUGAUCUUGGAUUGCCUCUGCCUUGUCCUCUGGUUGAGCUUUCUCCGUUGGCAUAAUUGGAGUUGUUGUUGUUGAAAUUCUAACCUCGUCCAUGACCACGACCUCUACCUCGAACAUAAUACCUUCUCUCAUUGUCGGAGCUUUCUUCUCUUUUCUUUGGAUUGAUUCCAUAUUGAGAAGUUGUUCUUCAAUUCCUUACUACUUUUUUAGUUUUUCUUCAUAGGCUUGCAACCUUCCUCGAAGUUGCUCGAUCGUCAUAUCCUCCAGAUCUUUUGUUUCCUCAAUUGUCACAACAAUAUGGUCAAACUUCAAGUAUACUGAUCGAAGUAUCUUUUCAAUGAUCCUUACCUGUUUUAACUCCUUGCCAUUUCCUUUUAAUUCAUUGGAAACGGUCACAACUUGAGUAAAGUAGUAAAAAAUUGACUCUGAUGACUUCAUGUGUAAGGACUCAAUUUCUCCUUGUAAUGUUUGGAGACGAACCUUCUUAACUUGCUCCGCUCCUUUGUAAGAAGUCUUUAGUUUCUUUCAUACUUCUUUUGAGGAGGUUACACUAGUAAUCUUUUCAAAAACAUAUUCGUCUAAUGAUUGAAAGAUAAGAUACUUUGCUUUAUUCUCUUUCUUCUUUAAGUCUUUUAAAUUCUCCUUCUGCACCACAGUUAAAGUGGUUUCAUUUUCUGGCACAAUAAAACAUUUCUCCACGACAUCCCAUACGUCAUGUGCACCAAACAGAGCCUUCAUUUUAAUACUCUAAUUGUCCAACUUACUUCCCUUUAAUUGUGGAGCUUGAAAUGACAUCAUACCAACAUUUGCCAUAACUCACAAAUUGAGUGAGAAUUUUGAGAUUCUGAAUGCACAGAUAGAUCCGGUACGUCGAGAAACCUUGGAAGGGACUUGAGUCAAUUUUCAAUCAACGAUCAAUUUUUGGUCAAUGGUCAUGUCGGUCAAUGGUCAACUAUAGUGUAGUUGACUUGGUUCGAUCCGGGUUAGUUCGGUUCUAGUUGGCUCGGUUCGACUUGAUUCGGUUCAGCUCGGCUCGGCUUGGUUCGGUUCGGCUCAACUUGGUUCGGUUGGUUUCAGGUUGGUUCAACUCGGUGAGUCGACUCAACUUCAGGACAUAAAACUUCUGGCAGUGAGUGUGGGUGAGUUCGGCCUCCGAUCGGGCUGAGUUUUGUGGCAUUACGUUCCUCUCAUCGAGAUCUUCCAUUUGAUAUGCUAUAUGAUUAUAUAUAGCAUCGAACACUAGCUCUAAUACUACUUUGUUGGAGAAUCAACAAAUGAUUAAACUAAUGUAUCAUGGGGCUAUAAAAGAAAGAGAAGAAGAAAAGCUUUCAUUGGAAAUUUUGGAUUCUCUAAGAUAUGAAACAUGAGAGACCUUGAAAAGAAAGAAAGGAAAAAAAAACCUAAAAUUGAGAUUUCUUAAAAAAUGGAAGAGUAAAACAGAGUUAAAAAAUGGGAGUAAAUUCUUAAAAAUAUACCAAGGAGGAAAAUAAAGACAUGAGAGAAACAAAUUUUAAUGGAUGCUCUUGUGGACGUAAAAGAAAAAUGAUCCCAAUGUUAGUUUAAAGACAAGUUUUGAUGGACACUCUCAUGUAGAAUCUAUUUAAUCACACACGAUGAGAUUGAGUUUUUAAAAAUGUUAUCAUAAAUGAAAUUAGGUUACUAGACUUCUCUCUCUCUCUCUAUACAUAUAUAUAUGUGUGUGUGUGUGUAUCUAUAAAAUUAUUCUCAGGUGCACGUGCCCUCAUUUUUUUUUUUUUUAAUGCGGACACUUUAUUAAACCACAUGAUUUAACAACGUGUCUGCAUAAAAAAAAAGGGGGCACUUGUAUGAGAGAAUGACUCUAUGUAUAUAUAUAAUCAUUUCUUACGAAGCAUAAGGCCUCCCCUAAAUCCUAAAACGGGCAAUAUCAAUACAGUGCAAAGAAACAAGUUGUAAUUACAUUUUUCUAAAGAAAACUAUGGGACAUGGUUUGAAUCAAGAUACUUGGGGUGCUUUUCGACACCUAAGUCACCCUUAACGAAGCUAGCUAAUUGGAGUCCAAUUUCAAUUAUAGAUGAAUUUAUCUUGCAAUUUCAGACUGCAAGAAAAAAAGGUUUUUAGAUCUUCCAAGGAAAGUUACGGAUGUGGGUUUUAAAUCAAGAUACUAAUUAGUAAUUAACCAGGCUAUACCAUCAUUGAAGUCUAAUUUCGAUUAUAUAUGUAUGAGUACUUCACUGCCUUCAUUAAUCUCAAACUCAUGUGAACUUGAUAGCAUCCAAACAAAUUACCAAAGCAUAAUUUUCUAAAUUGUUUAGAAGAUCACAGCUGUUACCAGUGAAUAUUUCUGUUAAAAGUUUAUGACAACAAAUUACUGCUAAUAAAUGAUCAUUUCGUACGUUUUCAAGCAUCUGCAGACUGCAAAACUAAAAAGCCAGCGUCUCAAAACAAUUGGGAAAAUAUUAAAAAAUAUAUGCCAAAAAAAAAAGAAGAAGCAUACUUAAGGAUCUUGAAAAACUUGUCAAAUUUUGGAUGCCACAGUGAAGAUAUUAAACUGCAAUUUUUUCUUUUUUUAAUAAUUUUUGCUUUGUCACAAAUGAGAUUGACUAACAUACCCUCGAGUAGAAUCUAACUACUGUACCACCAUUUGGAUGCUUAGUCGAUAAAAAAUAUCUUUGAAAAAAUUAGCGUUUUUUGUUUUCGACGUAUUUGUCCAAGAAAGAUUUUAUGUUUUGGAUUUUGGUCUUGUCAAUGGUGAGUGAGUACCGAUUUUCAAGUUUGUCUAUACGUUGAAUUAAUUGUAUGUUUUAUUAGUGGGGUGUAUAGCACAUACAUAGAGAGAGAGAGAGACGACAGCCUUGUGAAUAUCAUUAUGCUGCUUCCUGCAAAUCUUAUACGAUUGUUAUUGAAAUUUUGUACCUUGAUAAGAGCAUUCAUUGAUAAAUAUGUUUCAGUGUUAUAAGACUUUUGAUGAACGUCUAGGGAGUCAUCUUAAUUUGAGAUGUAUGGUACAUGCAUGAAACGUGUGUAGCAAUUGAACUGUAGUGAUACAACAUUAAUCAAUUUAACCCAUUGGAUACAAAAUUUAAGUUAUUAUAGACCAUGAUAGUGAUGAAUGCCAAUUCACAUCGAGCGGAAUCGGUAUUAGAAGUCAUGUAGAUUUAAAGAGAUUAAUAAGGUAAUGGGUUCGAAAAUUAAUUGCAAUUGACACAGUACUUAAAUCUGUAAGAAUUUGAAUGUGAAACUUUAUUUGUUUUGAUACUGUAUUUGUGAAACCAUUAAAAUUUUGUAAUAAGGACCAAAACUAGUGAAAAAUCUUAACUGAUAGAAGCUGAUUGAGGAAAAAAUUGAACACCACUAACACUGUCUCUAAUACUGUGUAAUUAUUGUUUCACUGAAUUACAAGCUUAAAGUAUUAAGCCAAUGCCCAAAAUUAUUAAUUUUAAACCAAAAAAAAAAAAAUCUAAUACCAAUGCCCAAAAUUAUUAAUUUUAAACCAGCUUAAAGUAUUAAGCCAAUGCCCAAAAUUAUUAAUUUUAAACCAAAAAAAAAAAAAGAAAAAGAAAGAAAGAAAGACGUACCUUACAGUUUUAACUUUAUAAAAAGUUUCGUUAGCCAAUAUAUAGAUUUUAUUUAUUUAUUUAUUGUAGAAGUAAGGGAUCCUGCUAUGUUGGUUAUGCUCUAACUUAGAGCAUCUCCAACAUAUCAAUUUCCAGAAGUAAGAAGUCAAGGGUUCAAUCCAAUGCGUAACUGAUUGGUCGUGGUUUUGUUCAAUAAUUUCGCAAAACAACAGAAAUGAAAUAAAAUUAUAUACCACCAUAAUUAAUUAAUCAACGGAUUCUGUUUAGAUUCUGUGCUUGAUUGUAUAUCAAUACCAUCAUAUUUUUAUCAAUAUUUUAAAUUCAAUUAUAUUGUUGUGGUCUGAAUGAUUUUUAUUUUUAAUAUUUUUACGAAUUUAUUGGUGUUCGGUUGGAUAAUAUUUAAAGUAAUAACAAACAUAGGUUUUAAUGGAGUGAAAUUGUAAGGGAUGGUAACUAAAUCUUGUUUCUUAUUGUUUAAUGAUAAAGACUGAAUUCAAUAUGAAGUGGUCUGAUAUUGUAAAUGCAUUGCAGGUAAAUUGAAAUUUUUUAUACGAUGGGAGGAAGUGCGAUUGAUGAUGAUUGGGAGCUUACUUCUCCAUCUAAUGGGGUGCGCACUGUGGUUUUUGUUGGCCGUACUGGCAAUGGCAAAAGUGCGACGGGCAACAGUAUUCUUGGAAGAAGAGCCUUCAAGUCGAGGGCUAGCUCGUCUGGUGUUACUAGUACUUGUGAAAUGCAGAGAACCGUGCUCAAAGAUGGCCAAGUUGUUAAUGUCAUUGAUACCCCCGGUAAUUUACUAAUGUCGUUGCCUAGAUAUUCCAUUUCCAUGCCUGUUGAUGUUGUGGUGGUAAGUAGAUUGAUGUUAUCGUAAUAAAAAAAAAAGGGUAGAUUGAUGUUAUGAGCAAUUGCAGGACUUUUUGAUUUUUCUGCUGGCUCUGAGUUUGUCGGCAUGGAAAUUGUCAAAUGUAUCGGUCUGGCCAAGGAUGGGAUCCAUGCAGUCCUUGUAGGUUUCUCUGUUAGAAGCCGUUUUCCUCAAGAGGAAGAAGCUGCACUACACAGUUGGCAGACCUUGUUCGGGAAAAAAGUUUUUGACUAUAUGAUUGUUGUUUUCACUGGAGGGGAUGAACUUGAAGAUAAUGAGGAAACGUUGGAAGAUUAUUUGGGUCGUGAGUGUCCAAAGCCUUUAAAGGUUUGUUUCUGAACGGCAAUAGUGUUUGAUAAUUUCAUUAGUCAUUUUGAUCAAGUUGUCUUGGGUUGGUUCCUUUUUGAAGUUUUAGACUCCUUUACGGUUGGACUAUUGGAAGUUUAAUAUGAAUAUAUCCAUGCUGAAAAUACUAGACAGGUUCAUAGUAGUCCAGCCGUCUUAAAGUUCCACAUUCAAUAUUGCUUCAUUUCCUGAAUGAUUUUCUUCUGCCAUGGGGUAUUGGCCGGAGGGGGUGAUUGGUUGGUAAUUUUCUGCUGGCAUUACUUAAUUUUAGUUAUAUUUUAAUGUCUUUGAAUGAGAUGUCAUUCAUUCAUUUGCCAAGCAUUUAUGCUUUUCUUAUUUGUAUUCUUUGAUUUCAUCUGUUAUUUAAUCUUUGGUUCUUAUUCUAUUAAUGUGUGUUCAUUUGUUUGUUCCUUAAAAUAUGUACAUCAUUGAUUUAUAUGCUUAAAAUUAACCUACUUUUAAGAUUUUAGAAGUGCGCCAACGAGGACAUGACUUGCUAUACAGGUCCAUUUUAUUAGGUGUUGUUUGAAUAGAAUAUCAAGUCUAACUUUACAAGAUUUAAAAUUCUCUUAAAAAUCCCUGUGGAUUCUAGCCUCAGAAUUGGUGUCUAAAAUUUCAAUGUGAGAUCGCUUUUCAGUUUUAACAUGCAAAUCUCCUAUAUUCAGCAUUUACUUGAUGAAUUUGUUUCCUAAAACUUUUUAAGUUGAGAAAGAUUUAUAUCGAGUUCCUCUAUUUUACUGCAUACUUGAUUAAACCUAUGAGGAGUUGGAAGAAAAACAACAAAAAUGGAGAUAAAGACCCUUCAAGUUGUAGCUUUGCAAUUAACAAAAUCGGGUUAUUUUACAGUUAAAGUGAGCUUUGUUUUUCUUAUUGUAGUAAUUUUUGUAGUUUGAAGGAAUCAAAAUUUUUUAAUUAUAAUGCCGCAAAAUUUUGUCAAUUAUGUAGCUGCCACAGAAAAUAUGAUCAUGUCUUUUGGUUUGAGCUUUGGUCACUUGAGUUUGUUUAUGACAAUAGUACAAUCUUUCAGGCUUUGUUCUAUAAUGUAAGAAUUUGUGAGUAGGCAACUACUGCUUUGUAGCCACUAAUUUUGAUUGGGUCAAUGCUUUUCACUGGAAUAUAUGCAGAUUAUUAUUAUUAUUAUUAUUUUCUGUUAUAUGGAAUGCUGAUCACCUUAUUCUAAGUGGUCAACCCAUAAGGAGAAUGGAAUUAAUUAUUAAAAUUUGAUUAUGGCUUGCUUUUAAAUAGUUUUUGAGGAUGCAAGAUAUUAAGUAUCAAUGAUAACAAUAAAAACAAAUUUUGUCAGCUGAAUACUUUCAAACUUUUAGAGACUACAAGUGUUUGAUUGGUUUAUCAAUGCUUACAAAAGGGGCCAACAUUUGCUUUAUUCCUGAUCAUUUUUCCAUUAUUUUAGGAAAUCCUUCAACUAUGUGAUAAUAGGCGCGUGCUUUUUGAUAACAAGACCAAGGAUGAGGCCAAGAGAACUGAGCAGGUUUGGAAGCUUCUUUCUCUGGUUAACUCUGUGGCCGUGCAGAAUGGUGGGCAGCCA